AUGAUGCCUAUAAAGUUCCGCCCGAAGUUUUGAUGACCGCCACACAAGUACAAAAUGUCACUGAUCCUCUGAGUCUGUUUCGGACCUCGGAGAACUCCACCACUGUCUGGUAUAUAUACUUCCACUUUGUGGAAUUGCAAUUGCAAAAGGGUCAAUUCAGAGAAUUCGCCAUAUAUGUACAAGACGAAUUCGUGGAAACUGUCAUGCUCGAGAACCUAAAGCCAGUGACCGUAGCCUCAUUGCCCAUAAGUGGACAUAAUUUGAACUUGACUAUUAGUGCGACGGCCCGCUCUAGUCUGCCACCGCUCCUCAAUGCCGUCGAGUUUUUCACUGUGGCACAGCUCCCAAAUUCACCGACUUUUCUUGAUGAUUGUAUAUUUAUAUCUAUGCUCCCACUUAAUUUUUUUUUUGUUUCGAUAAUCUUUGAUUUCCUUAUGAUUGUAGCUAUUUAUGUGGUGGUUUAGUUAAUGCCAUGUAUGACGUCAAGAAAACAUAUGGGGUGAUCAGAGCUAGCUGGCAGGGUGAUCCAUGCAUUCCUACGCAGUACACAUGGAGCGGACUGAAUUGUAGCUAUGAUAGUUCUCCAAGAAUCAUCUCAUUGUAAGUCCACGACUACAUAUUUUCUCUGAAAACAUGCUGCAUACGAACCACAAAGUCACAAAAGAUAAGUUUUCUCAACAACAACUAUAGUACAGGUUUGUAAUAUGUCAUGCGACUGAGGAAAUGAUUUCAAUAUCAAGUCACCAUAUGAACGCCUUCCUUAUAGAAAAUGUCAACCGGUGGGAUUUUAUUCUUAUAAAGUUAGCUGAGAAUGUGCAGGAACCUGAGCUCCAGUGGACUGAAAGGACCGAUAGCUACAUCAAUCUCCAAUUUGACAGCAGUUGUAUCCCUGUAUGCAUUAGCAGUUUUUCUUCAUAUUGUUUACUUAAUUUGCAGAGAGAGAAUGGAGAACACUAAGCCCAAAAAAAGCGACUGACUUCUUUGCCACUAGCAUGUUGUUCAUUAUCUACAAUAUCCCAUUUUAUGCAUUUCAACAAGUAUAUGCAUAUGAAGUUUCUUAGUAGUUUUUGGCUUAAUUUCAGGGAUUUAUCGAACAAUUCAUUAACUGGGUCCAUGCCAGACUUUUUAGCUCAAAUGCCGAACUUGAAAGUUCUGUGAGUCACUGAGCUUUUGAUGGAACUAUUAUGUGCGGUUAUCUAGCUUGAGUAAAUGGCCAUCAACUUCUAAUCAUGAAUACUUGCAGGAAUUUAAGUGGAAACAACAUGAAUGGCUCUGUUCCUCAAACUCUGUUGAAGAAGAAGGCAGAUGGAUCGUUGCUAUUAAGGUUCGCUCAUUGCCACACUAUUGUAACUCCGCAUUUAAUCACUCAUUAUUAUCUACACGAACUGCUUCUUCUUUCUACGUUUGUUCUCACUUUGAAGAAUGCAAAAGAUGAAAGUGGUACUCGGUUUUUCAUUUUCUGUUUGAUCAACUUAUGCAUGUAUGACAUAUAUAGAGGGCAGGAUAUCCAUGAAUUCAUGCGCUAAUCUUUCGGCAUUGACAAGUACUGCUGACGUUUUUCGACAGCUUAGAUGGAAAUCCAAAUCUUUGCCAAUCAGACAAUUGUCAGACCAGCAAUGUGCAGCCAAAGAAAAAGGGCAUCUCUGUUGCCCCAAUCAUUGCAUCAGUUGCAGCCAUUCUGGUCUUGGUUUCAUUGGGAGCUCUUGCAGUGUUGUGGAUAAUCAAAAGAAGACAAAUCCAAGGUAACUCUCUUGCGUAUUGCAUGAGCAAGAAAAAUCCAAAGUUCUUACAUGGGAUUUUGUCAGUCCGGGUCAUGUUUUGAACCCCAUACUGGUUAACCGGUCCAAUUGCUCAUGGAAACAAUUGGGCCCAGAAAAAGUGAACAUGAUAAUCAUGCUUCUAUGCACCACUGUUCAAUGUUAAAAAACUGUGCACACGUUCUCUGUUAAUAGUAUCAUAAUUGCAUCAAUGCGUAUCUACAUCUCGGAUAGAUAAAGGCGUGAAUACUUCCUUUGGUUGAGAUAACUAGCUUCGCUCUUUCAAAUUUCAUUUUUCAUGACUCGGUCUAUCCUUAUAAUAAGUCAUUACAUACUUUUUCAAAAAGGUUCUUUUUGUAGUGAAGGCAUGUGAUGUCAAACUGAAAAUCAUGAUCUGCUGCUGUUGAGAUUAUAUAAUUUCCUUUUCAUUUCUCCAGACGUUACUACUAUUACUACAACUACCAACUCUAGCGAAGGAUAUACUGGGACAUUAAAGUUGUCAAAAAAUCGACCUUUUACAUCCACUGAGGUUACAAGAAUUACUGAUAACUUUAGAACUGUAAUUGGAGAGGGAGGAUUUGGGAAAGUCUACUUUGGCAGACUUGAUGAUGGCAUUCAAGUCGCGGUAAAAAUGUUAUCUCGAUCAUCAAAGCAAGGCUACAAGGAAUUUCACGCAGAGGUUUGAGACGUUAGUGUAACUAGAAUCGAUGUUGCAUGUUUUUGGUUUUCUGGAUUUUCAACUAAUAGCAAGCCAUGAUACCUUGAUGUGCAGGCACAACUCUUGAUGGUCGUUCACCACAGAAAUCUAGUUUCACUUAUCGGAUAUUGCGAAGAAUUUGAAAACAUGGCACUGAUUUACGAAUUCAUGUCCAAUGGAAAUGUUCGGCAACAUUUGUCAGGUUUGUCUCAUAUUUCCAUUUACAAAUUCUAAACAGAUAAAACAUCUGUUAGACUAUCCCAAUGUGACAGCAAAGACGUGUGUCCAAAUAUAUUUUAUCUCAACACUGUUCUUUGAUAGUUUAGGCUUUUGCAUUAAUCGGUCAUGUUACAAAUUUAUUAAUAGCAUUAUGGAGAUGAAAUUAACUUUCUCAGCGAAUGAGGACAACAGUGAACAAGCUUUUACAUAUUUCAUGAUUGGAAUACUCCUUAUUUCUCUACUUUUAAGCAGCACACAACCCUAGUGUUUUGAGUUGGAGCGAGAGACUAAAAAUCGCAAUCGAUGCAGCUCAAGGUACAUAAAGUAGAUUGAUGAAAUCUUUGUUCACAUUUCCACAAGUUAAGCUACACAAUACAAUUCAUUAAGUUUUCGUUUUUGUUGGUGGUGCAGGGUUAGAGUACCUGCAUAAUGGCUGUAAACCUCCCGUUGUCCAUAGAGAUUUAAAGACGCCCAAUAUUUUACUAAACGAAAACAUGCAAGCGAAGAUUGCUGAUUUUGGAUUAUCAAAGGCAUUUGUAACAGAGCAUGAUUCUCAUAUUUCGACUCGCCCAGCAGGAACGCCGGGUUAUCUUGAUCCGGAGUAAGUGACUCAAAAUGACAUUUUAUUCGUGCAUGUUUAUGUUGGAAACAUAUGUGUAGGUACUUUCUAAAAGGCAGUUUCGGCUAUUAUUGUACUAAUCAAAGAAACAAUUCCUUUUGAAUUCUUAGGUUUCAUACAUCUGGAAACUUGAGCAAGAAGAGCGAUGUAUACAGUUUUGGUAUAGUUUUAUUCGAGUUAAUCACUGGCCACCCCGCCAUUAUAAGAAGUCCAGAGGGCAGCAUGCACAUACUUCGCUGGGUAACUCCACUCAUAGAAAGAGGGGACAUCCAAAGUGAUGGAUUUAUGAGAUGGGCCUGAGUUGGCCCGUCCGCCCAAGUUGGGCCCAAAAAGCCCGGCCCACGGGAAUAGGGCCCGUGGAGGGGGAAGGUAUAAAAGGGAGGAGAGAGAGAAAAAGUAAUUAGUUGGAAAUAACGUACGCUUUUUCUCCUUACGCUCUCUCUCUCCCAAAACGAAGAACAGUAAGCACACGGCGCACUUUUCUUCCCUUCAAGUCGUCAUCGGAUCGAACAGGAUCAGAAUUUCUUCCUCGAUCUUCAGCAUUGGUGUUUAAUCUGUGGCUAACAAGGUACGCUCGACUCUGUGGUGUGCUUUACGAUCGGUGAUACGUGUAAUUCUCGGGCUUCGUCUUCCGCAUAGAUUUAGGGACUCGAUUUAGUGUCGAAUCCGGCUUUCGGGGAUCAGUAAUUCCCAACAUUGGUAUCAGAGCCCUAGUUCACGUUUUUCCCGAUCAAUUCUGAUGUUUUUGAUUGAUUUUUCGCGAAAUCCCUUCGGCCGUACGGAACCGGGCAAAAAUCCCGACACCCGAGCGUUUUUCGGCCAUUUUUCCGAGAUUUCGUAAGUUAAAAUAAAAUUGUAAUUGCAUAGGAAGAAGCGCGACGUCGAGACGAGUCCGGCGACAUGUUGUGCGUCGCCGGAAAACUCCGCACGCGCCCACACGCGCGGCCACAAGCCGCUGCGCGUGGGCGCCACGCGCCCGAAGCGCUGGCAAUGGCCAGCGCAUGCGCCACACGCGCCGGUGACGAACCGGCACGUGCGCGCCGGCGACCGGCGAAACGGCACGCGCCGGUCCGCGGACCGACGCGUGCUGACGUCCUGUGAUGACGUCACCGUGACGUCAUCCAACGGUCGGUAACCGCCCGGAUGACGUCACCGAUGACGUCAUCGACGAGGACGUUUCGCCGGGCGGUCACCGGCCGGCGGCCCGACCGACGACGACCCGACCCGAACCGCGACGCCCGGCACGCUCACGGCACGUGCCGGGUGACGUCUGCGUGAGGUCAUCCCGCGCACGCGCGCGGCACGUGCGGACGGUUCGCCUGUACCGGCCCGACCGGUCUGUCCGGUCCGACCGGUCCGUUCGGUCCGACCGGUCCGUCCGACGACCGUUGACCUCGGUUGACCGACGACGUUGACUUUGACCGUUGACUUUGACCGUUGACCCGAAAAAAAAAAAAAAAAAAAAAAAAAAAAAAAAAAGGAAAAGAAUGUGUCUCUUUUGCAAUUAAGUCUAUAUGGAUUAUAAUGUGAUCCCUUAUUUGUUCUGCAUUUGUUGCAGGAACAAUGCCUCCCCUGAGGUUGCGCACACCUAUUCGCGCAGUGACCGAUGAACAAAAGGAAAGGCUGUCUAAGUUGAUAGCUGCGCUGACUGAUCAUCGAUGGGAGAGUGGUGACUUAAUUGAUCAUGUCCUUGAAGUCAACGGGAAAAAUUCAACAGGUCAUAUGGAAUGGUCGUCCAAUAUCACAGUCAGAGAUGGUGCGAUUUUUUCAUAAACACUAUUCCACCUGAAUGGCAAGAUGUGUUGAAUCGCAUAUGGGAUGUCAACGGAGCUGCUUCCUAUAAGAAAAUUGUGAUGGAUUUUGUAAAUGAAUAUUAUUGUAUUGUUUCAAGGGAAAAUAUCAAGAAAUUGAACAAAAGAGGAUCUUUCCCAGUUCGUGUGCUGACUUGGUGUAAGUUGUGUUGGCUGAUAUGUAUUAAGUGUGCUUUGUGGACAUAUAAUGUAUUGUUUACUACCUGAUUGUUAUUGAUGUGACAACUGAUAUGUUAGUUGUAUUGAUUGAAAGCAUUAUUGUUUUUAUUAAAUGUUCUAUUAUAUAUUGCUUUCUGUUAUUGCUGAUUGCUGUGGGUAAUUAGCUAUGGGUAGUUUUAGAAGUUUUUGUAGCUUCAUAGAAUUGACUUUGCAUAAGACAAUUAUAUUGAUGAUAGUUUUAAGUUAGGAUUUUGGAGGAUGAUUGGAAACAUAGUGACCUUUUGAUUCUGAAACCUUACUUGAAAUUAUUUAUUAAUAUAAUGGGUCUAUGUAAAAGUGGAUGCAUAAAUGAUAGGCAUUAAUAAUUCGUGCAUGUAUGUCUGAUGUGCUCAGAUCGAUAUUUUCAGCAACUAAGAACGUUAUUGCUGAUAUGAACGGCAACAAUUGUGAAAUAUUGAAUAUGAAGAUUCAAUAUGUGCUGGAAAAGCAAGAAGCAUUAGAAGCUCUUGACCAUAUUAUGGAAGAUCUAGAGGAUGCUGUGCGCCACCUUGAGCUAGUAGAGGACUGGCUAUCGGCAUUUGAGCCGAAAAUAAACAUAGGCUAUGCUGGUUCUAGCUCAGAAAGGGCUUUGAGCUCUAAGCGCAAACGUAUUGAUUCGUUCAAUAUGUGGGAAAGCAAAGGAUCAAGUCCUUAUUGCAAGAGAUCAAGAGUUAACCAACACAAGAGAGGAAAACGUCCUCAAGUGAAGAAAAUGUCAAGGGUGAGGUGUUAUAAUUGUGACAAGAAUGUCACUAUGCUCGCAAUUGUUGUGAGCUGAAAAAGGUAAACACCUCUUGUACAUUUGAGAACUUUGAUUAUGUGUCAAGUUCUGCAUUAUUAGCUGAAUCCAAUCCUUUGUGGACUGUAGAUUCAUGAGCAACAGAUGAUGUAGCGAAGGAUAAAGGAUCCUUCGUAGAAUUCCGACGAUACCAACUGGAACUAAGUGGAUCUAUAUGGGAAACAGCUCCAGAGCUGAAAUUAAAGGGAUUGGCACCUGCCAAUUGAACAUGCGUGGUGGACGCAACUUGUUCCUACAUGAUGUUCUAUAUGCUCCGGAGAUUCGUCGAAAUUUAAGUGUCUGUUUUGAUGCAUUGGUUAAGCUUGGUUUUUAGUAUGAACUUCCAUAAUAGAUGUGUAGAUUUGUAUUUGGAUACAAACUACUAUGAUUUUUUGGUCACUUUCUGGAUGGUUUUAUUGUACUAAAUGUUGACUGUGGUGAUGUCAAUAUGUUAUUCCCUUGUUUCACGUCUUCCACUUUAUAUGAUAAUGAUGUGAAUAUGGUGGCAUGCUAGACUUGGUCAUAUGGGCUAACAACAUAUGAAAAGACUAGCCAAAGAGGGCUUGUUGGGCAAUAUUGAAAAAGUCGAUUUGCUUAUAUGUAAGCAUUGCCUAGAAGGGAAAACGACAAGGAAACCAUUUGGAAAAGGUAAAAGAGCUGAAUUUCCUCUGCAUUUAAUCUAUUCUGAUGUCUGUGGUUCAAUGAAUAUGAGAGGAAGGUAAAGGGCUGUUUGUUUCAUCACUUUUAUAGAUGAUUCUACUUGAUUUGGAUAUGUCUAUUUGAUUUCUCAUAAAUCUGAAGCAUAAGUUGUUUCAAAAAGUUUAUGAACCUGGUAGAGAAUCAAUUAGACAAGAAAAUAAAAGUAUUGAGAUCCGAUCGAGGUCAAGAAUAUUUAUCUGAUGAGUUCAGAAAAUUAUGUGAUGAAAAAGGAAUAGAAAGACAGUUGUCUAUUCCAUAUACUCCUCAACAAAAUGGUGUUGCGGAGAGAAGAAACAGAACCCUACUGGAAAUGGUUAGGUCCAUGAUGGUGUAUGCUAACUUACAUAUCACUUCUUGGAGUGAUGCGUUGUUAACUGCUGCCUAAAUACUUAACCGGGUGCCUUCUAAAUCAGUUAGUUCCACUCCAUAUGAGUUAUGGAUAGGUAGAAAACCAGACUUAGGUUUUCUUAAGUCAUGGGGUUGUGCUGCCUAUAAUGAAUCCUCUCACAAAUUUGGGAAAUAUGGUCCCAAAUGAAAGAAUAGUAUUUUUAUGAGAUACUCCGAACACUCGAAAGGGUAUGUGUUCGUAGGUGAGUAGGAAAGUGGGAGUAUAACUGAAUUUGAAUCACGGGAUGUCAUAUCCUUAGUGGAUGAAUUUUCUAAGAGGGGCAAAAUAGGGAAAAUUACUCCCUAUUUGAAACCUUGGAUUAAGAUAAUGAUGUCAGUGGAGUUUGUCCAAGUGGGAGUAAUAUGAGAUGUAAUGAAUUGAAUUCAACUCAUUCUCAAUUGCAACCACCUGAAUGUGACGACAUCAUCAUUACCUAAUCCAAGUGGGAGCAUGAUGGAGAAUGAUGUGCUAAGUGUACAAUCUUCCAUACGGUGAACAAGUCGCCAAAGUAUUCCCCGUCGACGUUUUGACAUUGAAGGGGAAACUUUUAUGGUUGCUCCACAAGAUGAGGAUGAGCCAAGAAAUAUUAAUGAGGCUCUAAAUUGCCCUAAUAAGGAAAUAUGGAUUUAUGCAAUGAAAGAGGAAAUGGAGUCAAUGAAAUCAAACCAAGUCUGGGAACUGGUUGAUCUUCCAAAAGGACACAAAGCUAUUGGGAACAAGUGGGUUCUCAAAAUAAAGCGAAAGGCUGAUGGCUCGAUAGAAAGGCACAAGGCUCACCUUGUGGCGAAGGGGUAUAAUCAACAGGAAGAUAUUGAUUAUGAAGAUACAUUUUCUCCUGUAUUGAGAUUUACCUCGAUUCGUAUAAUUCUGGCAAUAGUGGCUAGUCUGGAUCUUGAGUUACAUCAAAUGGAUGUAAAGACUGAUUUCCUCAAUGGAGAAUUAGAGGUAUAAAUAAAUAUGGAACAACCUGUCGGUUUCAUAGUGAAAGGCCAAGAAGAAAAGGUAUGUCGACUUUGGGGGUCGAUAUAUGGCCUUAAGCAGUCGUCAAGACAAGGAUAUAUACGUUUUCAUAAUGCCAUAAUGGCAUAUGACUUUACAAUGAUAGAUGAGGAUCAUUGUGUAUAUAUCAAAAGAUCCAAGGAUCAAUUUGUGAUCAUAUCAUUAUAUGUUGAUGAUAUACUAAUUGCCGGAAGCAAUAUGGAGCUAGUCAAUACUGUCAAAAGUUGGUUGUCUUCCAAAUUUUGAAUUGAAUGAUAUGGGAUUGUAAACCCAUUGACGCUCCUAUUGCAAAAGGUGAAGGAUUGAGCCAUAGACUGUGUCCAAGGACUCCACAAGAGAAGGAACAAAUGAAACAUGUUCCUUAUGCUAGUGCUGUUAGAAGCUUGUUGUACGCUAUGAUGUGUACAAGACCUGACAUAUGUUAUGCAGUUGGAAUGGUGAGUAGAUACCAAUCCAACCCAGGUCAAGCACGAUGGAAAGCCAUUAAAAUGAAUACUAAGGUAUCUAAAGGGAACUGCUGAUUAUAUGCUGAGUCAUUGAGGAAAGGAUCUGCGACUCUAAGGCUAUUAUGAUGCUGAUUGAGAAGGAGAUUUAGAUGAAAGGAAAUCUACCUCUGGAUUUGUUCUCUUACCGAAUAAUGGCACCAUAUGUUGGAGCAGUAAGAAACAAAAGUGUAUAGCCUUGUUCACGAUGGAAACUGAGAUCGUGGCAUUACCAGCAGCAGUAUAAGAAGAUAUUUGGCUUAAGAGAUUAUUGGAUCAUUUAGGUGUUAUUGGAAGUGCUGCAGAUUUGUUAUUAGUUAAACUAUGAUAAUCAAGCAGCAAAAGUGUACACUAAAGAUCCAAAUAUCAUGGCAAGACCAAACAUAUAGAUACCAAGUAUAAUUUUGUCAAGGAUAUGGUUGCACGAAAGGAUGUGAACUUAGAGUACAUACUACGCAUAGAAUGGUUGCAGAUCCUAUAACAAAGCCAAUACCUAGAGAUGUGCUUUGUGGCCAUGUGAAAUCUCUAGGACUGCGUAGAGACUGAUGUACUAAAUAUUGUAAUUUCCCUAAGUGUUCACAAUUUGAUGAAUUUGUGUUUUCAUUAUUAAUGCCUAUGAAUCUUUGUUUGAUCUUUAUGCAUCUUAAUGCUUAGUGCAUUACUUUAAGUUGAGAAGUAUGUCGGACAGAUAUAAGAUUAGCCCACUCACACGGGUAAUCGCCUCUAUUUACUGUGUGAUAAAUAGAGAUGAGACUGUUUUUAAGCUUAUUAUCUAGGUGAUAAUCGAGAGCUCAAGCUUAAAACACGUAUGUCGCCUUAACUGAGUGUUAAGAUGAGGACAUAAUACUUACUAUGUCCGAAAGUAAAAAUAUCCCACAUGUUUUACUUUAUCUGUCUAAGAUGCCAGAUGUGAGUUCUGAUGAAUUUUGUAAAUGAGUAGAUACGUGAACUCAAGUUAGACAUUGGGUAUGUCUGAACUAUCAUCUGUACGGUAUUGAAAGGUGUAGACAUACGCUCCAUGGGAAAGGAGUUGAUACCGUAAUACGUAUUUCAUACUACGUAUGCAUGAGACGACCAAUAAGAGUGGCAAAAGUUUGAUCUCAACUUUUUAUGUCAUGUGAGACUCUUGAGGAAAAGAGUUCCUCAAUUUUUUUGCCCCCUCAUGACUCUUACUUAUUCUCAAGAUUUCUAUUUAGUGUUUGCUAUCUUAGGAUGUUACCAAUGGUCAUGAGUUUGAUUCGAUCUAAUGGGGCAUUUCUAGAAAAGCAAGUUGAACUGAAAUUGAGAGUUUGAAGGGAAGAGGAAGAUCGAUUUUGGAGAAUCACAUUGUAGUUUUGUAUUCACCGGUUAACCAAUUAUGACUGUCUUUGGGAUAAUCAUAAUUGUGAAUACAAUAUAUAUAUAUAUAUAUAUAUAUCAUUGUUUAAAAGAGAUCAAGAGAGAUAUAAAUGUGAUCGAUCGAUCUAGGGUACUGCAUACUAAAUCUACUCGGAGUGUGACGCUCAUUAUGAGCUGCUAUAUAUUCCUAACAGAUGUAUGGCAACGAGCUCUCAAAGUAUGCUGGUCGCACGGAUUAUUCACUGGUAUGAAUGUUGAAGAGAGGAAAAGAGAAUUCUGUUCGGCCCACCAUGUUAAGAGAAAGUCUAUGAUGGAUUUUUCUAUGAUGAGGCUGAGUAGGGCCUGUCCGCCCAUGUUGGUUUUGUACCACCAUGUGCGAGUGGGAGAUGAUGGAUUUAUGAGAUGGGCCUGAGUUGGCCCGUCCGCCCAAGUUGGGCCCAAAAAGCCCGGCCCACGGGAAUAGGGCCCGUGGAGGGGGAAGGUAUAAAAGGGAGGAGAGAGAGAGAAAAAGUAAUUAGUUGGAAAUAACGUACGCUUUUUCUCCUUACGCUCUCUCUCUCCCAAAACGAAGAACAGUAAGCACACGGCGCACUUUUCUUCCCUUCAAGUCGUCAUCGGAUCGAACAGGAUCAGAAUUUCUUCCUCGAUCUUCAGCAUUGGUGUUUAAUCUGUGGCUAACAAGGUACGCUCGACUCUGUGGUGUGCUUUACGAUCGGUGAUACGUGUAAUUCUCGGGCUUCGUCUUCCGCAUAGAUUUAGGGACUCGAUUUAGUGUCGAAUCCGGCUUUCGGGGAUCAGUAAUUCCCAACACAAAGCAUUGUCGACCCGAGGGUUAAAUGGGCCAAUUCACAUCGGUUCUGCAUGGAAAGCGGUUGAAAUAGCCAUGUCGUGUGUNNNNNNNNNNNNNNNNNNNNNNNNNNNNNNNNNNNNNNNNNNNNNNNNNNNNNNNNNNNNNNNNNNNNNNNNNNNNNNNNNNNNNNNNNNNNNNNNNNNNNNNNNNNNNNNNNNNNNNNNNNNNNNNNNNNNNNNNNNNNNNNNNNNNNNNNNNNNNNCACCAAAUGCUCGUUAACUGCACUUGGUAUGUAAGGGUUAUCACGUUCAGCGUUCUUGUGUAAGUUGUUGAUUGUUGGGUCGUAUAGAUUGAAAACUUCUGUACAAAGUCUGAGCUUGUGACUUUAAAUUGUCAUAUUGUUGUAUGUUGGGGUUGUUGCUUUUCUACCUUAGAAUUAUAAUGAAUGAAUGUCGAGUUCAAUUCACUUUGCCCAUCUUUAUAAGCUUACAAACCGUGCAGUUAUUCAGAUGUUGAAAGGCAGCCUUGCUCAGUUAUCCAUGUGAACCCCUGUACAAUGAAAUAAAGGAACUAUGUAUUUCUUUCAUUGUCAAACUAUUUGUAUUACAGACCGAAGUCAUCGUUUGACGAUCUUUGAGAACCACGACCACCUAAGUUCUGGGUUUCGCUCGAACAUCCAUAGAAACAGGUCGAUCGUUUAAGGUUCAUGUUUCAUCUUCUGUCGAUCUUGAGAGUCGUAAAUCGAUUCUUGAAAACUUCUCGGUGCUAAGAAAUUUCAGCAAGAUGUCUGUCGACAUCAGUUGCUAGCAACUAAGUACGCGAGUGUCGACUUAAUCCAACAAUCUGUUCCCUUAGCUGAUUAAGUCAGAAAUCAAUCUAUCGGUAGCGACUUGCCAUUUAUGGUGCACAGGCUUUAAACUUGUAGAAUAAUUGAAGAAACUUUGCAGUUCUAUUUCAUGGGACAUGUCUGAGUCAAGGUCAUGACAAUUACUUGCCAUAAGCGUUAUCUUCACAAAAAAGUUUGCAAUCAAUCUGACGAGGACUCAAAUUGACCAAUAUCGACUAAUGCAAAUUGCACCAAAUUUUGCUGGUCAAUAUUAGCACAAGUAAUUAUACCAAUGAUCACACUUGUAUUUAAGUGUUUGCCAUUAUCAUAAGAAAAACAGGGAAAAAAAAUUGACCAAGACAUUAGAAUUUAUAAACGUGAAUAUUGAUGAUGUCAACCCCAAUAUAUAUAUUGAGUAAACGGUUUUUGUUUACGAUAUCACAUAAUUUUAGUAUAUAAUCCAUAAGUUUUGGACUGAUACAUCUAUAAAUUAUAGGGACACAUACUAUUCUAUGGGGUUAACUGUCCAAAAAAGUCUUAAACCUAUUGUUCAUCGGCCCAUUUAAUCCUAAACCUUUCAAUUAUGCUAAUUUCGACAAUUUGUCGAUUUAGUCUUAAACCUUUUGAUUGUCUCAAUUUGGUCCUAAACCUUUUUAAAAAUUUUUAGUUUAGUCAUAAAUUGAUUAUUUGGAUAAUUGGCUAGAAUGACUAAAUUGACAAAUUAUUAAAAGGUUUAGGACUCAAUUAACAAAAUCAUAAAAUUGUUAAGGAUUAAAAUGGUGCAAUUGAAAAGUUUAGGACUAAAUUGGCGAAUCGUCAUAAGAUUUAUGAUUGAAUUGAUAUAAUUGAAAGGCUUAUAACUGAAUUAAUUACCAUAUAAUAGGUUUACAACUUUCUGGACAAUUUUCCCCUAUUCUACGUAUAUUAAGACCCCCAAAUCGAACCCACAAAGUUAGAAUUCAUUCUAAUUCAUAAAUAUUGGUGUGUGGAUUAAUCACACGACACGAGUUAUGCUCAAUCUCAUAUACUAUCAAUGGCAUCUUUCUGUAUUUGGGCUCAAUUUGUAUCUUAGGAACGAUGGUAAACAUAAUUGAGAUAUCUCAUGAUGCCGAAAUUUGCUUACGUGCGAUGGACUUUUCUGUUUAAAAACAAAAUGAAUCUGACGUAUGAAAGUGUAUUCUCAGCGUUGGUCAAAUAAUGGAAGCUUAGAAACAUUNNNNNNNNNNNNNNNNNNNNNNNNNNNNNNNNNNNNNNNNNNNNNNNNNNNNNNNNNNNNNNNNNNNNNNNNNNNNNNNNNNNNNNNNNNNNNNNNNNNNCCCUCCUCCAGCCGGUCGCUGAGUCCAGCGACCGGCUGGAGGAGGGGAGGGAAAAAAUAAAAAUAAAAAAUAAAAAAAUAUUAUUAAAAUUUAUCCAUGUCAACACUAAUCAGGCCACGUCAACUGGCCAACGUCCAGUCAACAAAAUCUGGCUAAAAUUGGCCGGAAAUGACUGAAUUGGCACUAAGUAAAAAUGUUUAAGACUAAAUUGGCACCAAAAAAAGGUUUAAGACUAGAUUGGCACAAAUACAAAAGCUUUAAGACUUUUUAAGUACUUUUCCCAAACAUUGGCAAUGUGGCUUAAUCGAUCAAUUCUAAGGCAUGGUCUAUUGCCUUACUAAUUAUGUGAUCAUAUGCCUGUAUAUACAUUUAAGUGUCAAUUAUCACCCAUGCAAUAAAUUUCUCUGAAGAAAAAUAUAAGUUACGUUUAAUUUUGGAAAAUGAAGGUGCAUGAGGAUGAGCCAACGUCUUAGUGUUGGAUUACAUUGUACCCUCCGGACGUUUGAAGCAUGGACGAUUUGAUCUAAUUGAUGUGAAACUUUCUUCUUUGAAGAUAACAUCUAACCACACGUUAAUUAGAUGUUUGAUCGACACAAGUUUAUAUUAAAUAUUCAAUUUAUAAUUAGUGAAUUUGAUCGAUCAACAUAAGAUAAUUUUUAUCAGCGUAAAUUUCAAACAACUCUCAUUGGACGUAAUUUGCAAAUACGAUAACUUAACUUUAUAUUAGCCAUUUCAAACCUCCCGGAAUUCAUUUUAUAGGCGGUCUCAAUUUUGCACCAAAUAUUUGGACAAAGCGCUCUACAUGUUUUUUUAAGGACAUUAACUCCUUUUCGAUUCAAGUUAACCAAAAGCCUGUUGAAUUACUCUUUUGUCCAAUUAGUUCUUAGAAAAAAAAGCUAGGUAAAGUUAUUUAUCGUUCCUAAUUACCAUGGAUAAAAUAUUAACACCUCUAAUAAAUUUGAGUUUGCAUUUAAUGCAAUACUAAAGUAAUAUUUAGUUUUUGGGUGUACCAAAAAAGACAUGAAAAUUAGUCAAAUUAAUUAAAAUAUAGUACCAACUGAACCUGAACUUUUUAAUAGUAGACCUUUUGGUCAAGAGAAGAGGAUAAGCUCCAUACAUGCUGCUAUCGCAAGUUGGUUGGAUGAAAUAUUAUGUUAUUGAUGUAUGUUACUCCUUACGCACACGCAUGGCCUAUUCUAACAAAAACAACUUCAUAUAUAUAUAUAUAUAUAUAUAUAUAUAUAUAUAUGUGUGUGUGUGUGUGUGUAUUCUCUCCUUCAUCAAUUGACCCAAACAAAAUUGACACAAUCUUAAAUGUCCUUUUCAUGUUUCAUCCUCACAUUCUUUUAAUUUUUCUCAAAAACUCUGUAGCUUUAUAUUCUUGAGAUAUUUGUGGAUAUUGGCAAUCUUUUAGUGCUGUAUAAAAUAAGCUUAGAAACAUUCGUGCUCCUAUCAGCAUCCGCAAGGAUACCUAAGUAAUGUGACAUAAUCAUUACAAGGUCAAUCGCAUGUAUAAGUCAAUGGAUGUGCAAGAUAGCGAACCGAGUCUCUUUGUUAACUCUCUAUAUCAAUGGCUUUACCUAGGCUUCAUGUCGCAAUGUACUUAGAAAUCUCUCUCUCUCUCUCUCUCUCUCAGAGGAAGACAAAGCUGGCAAAAUCGUACUUGUGAAAGAACAAUGAAGACUCGAUGUGUGUCAUUUCUUUGUCUAGCUCUCGGACUUUAUGUUCAAGGACAAGACUAACCCGGCUCUCUCUCUCUCUCUCUCUCUCUCUCUCUCUUGUAUAUCAUUUGGUUUCAAGAAAUUAAUGUAAACUAGAGUGGCUUGCCUCAACCAAAUCUUGUACGGGAAGCAAUUGUAUAUUCGUAUCAUCAGUUUUUCCAAUAAGCAAUACAAUUUUAUCUAAUAUGCACGGAACAUAUUGUGCUAAUUUUCCUUUCACAUACAAUUCUAAAUAAUAUCAAUAUUUUAUCUCCAGUGUUUUUAUUCUAUUUGUCAUUUAACAUUCAAGAUAAAGUCAUUAAACUAAACAAAGGCUGAUAUUAUAAGUUUUUUACCUUGAAAAAUUCAAUUAAUUACUUCAUACCAAAUAAAUCAGACAUGUCACAUGUAAAGCGGCCUUCUUGCUUCUCAUUUAACUUAUAGUCCCCCACCUAGUUUAAAGAGAGUAAUUCACCAUUUUAUAAAGUUUCGCACUUAUUGCAAAAUCUCUUGAGAGGUUUAUCUAUAAAUAAAAUUAGUUUCGAAGAACAUUGUUCUCGAGAAAAACUCCUCAAUUAUUUCUUCUUCUUCUUCUUUUGGGUUAUUUUUAACAAUAGGCUUCAUAAACAUCGAUUGUGGCAAACCGAAUGAUUACCACAAUAAUGUUCUCAACAUAAUCUAUGAGGUAGAUACCAGAUUUGUAGACUCCAGACAGGUGAUGCAAGUCUCCAAUAAUCUCAUCCACAGCAACAUGCAACAAUUGACGAACUUGAGAAGCUUUCCUAAUGGUACUAGGAAUUGCUAUCCUCUUCAACCAGAGCAAGGCAAGAACGAAAAAUACUUGAUUAGGGGAACCUUUUUCUACGGGAAUAACAAUAGUAAAGGAAUGGCCCUAGUGUUCGAUUUGCACGUGGACACAAACUAUUGGGCCACGGUGGACUCACCGAACUACACAUGGAGCGAAAUCAUUUAUGUUGCCCCAAGAGAUUACAUACAAGUAUGCCUAGUGAAUAAGGGUACAGGAAAACCUUUCAUUUCAGCCGUAGAAGUUGCGACUUUUGGACAGCACAACUUACCAUAUUGAUUCGGGUGCUCUCACAACCAAAUGGCGAGAGAAUAUUGGAUCCACCGUCACAUAUAGAUGAUCUUUUGUUUUCUUAUUCCAAUAACAAUAUCUGAAACUUCAUUUUCUUAAUAUAUAUUCUAUAAUGAAUCGACUUGAAAUGCACAUGUCGAAUUUCUGAAAAGGAAACUCGGAGAGUGAAUUUAUACAUGGAGUCGCCUUCUCACUAAUUAGUUGGUCACUUUGUCUUUCAAAUAGGCACCCGCAAGAUGACUAUGAUCGCAUUUGGGAUGCCCAAGAGUAUGAUGCUUUCACAUCGAUUACCUCCGCCACGGUCAUCGACCUAACGAGCUGCAACGAUGCUUAUGUUGUUCCAGCCGAAGUGUUGAUGUCCGCACAAAAAUAAAACAAAGUCCGGUUUUUCAUGUACAUUUAUUGGUCGUCCAAUCCCGGCGAAACGUGGUACAUCGUCUUACACUUCGCCGAGAUCGAAGUUCUUCGACCGGGCCAAGUGAGGGAUUUCACUGUGUCCAUGGAAGGGAACUUGACCGCCAUGCUCAGGCCACAGUACUCGACCCCGGUGACUGUUGUUUCGCAGCCCAUCACCGGUCAAACCGAGAUCAACUUCACUCGAGCCUUCACGUCCCAAUCCACCCUCCUGCCAAUGAUCAACGCCCUCGAGAUUUUCAACAUUAAUGAUCUACCGAUCUCUCAGACGGCACUCAACGAUGAUAAUUUUAUGCAUGCCUUGAUCCAGUUUUCAUGCGACACAUACAUUUUUUCCAUCUGUAUGAUUCAUCUAUAUUGGUUAAUAAUUUCGUUCCAAUUGGAAAAAUCGCAGUCAACGUGACUGUCGACAUAAAGAAAACAUAUGCAAUAGUACGAGAUAGCUGGCAAGGCAAUCCAUGCACUUGACAAGAUUAUUUGUGGAAGGGAUUGAGUUGCAAUUACGGUAGUCCCCUGAGGAUCAUCUCAUUGUAGGUGCAACUAUUUAAGUAAUUAUUGUCAUUUCGUUUGACCAAACUUGAAUCUUGAUGCAACCGGUCAAUCUUUGUUUCCGUAUUGAUUGAGAUCUCUUUUAACAAAUAAAAAAAAUUUGGUAAUGAAAGUGGCAUUUGUAAAGGGGGGUGUAUCCGAUUCCUUCCCCAAUCUCACCGAUUUGGCCAUCUUGUAAGUUUGAAUAUCUCCUAAUAUAUCUCCCAAUUUAUGCAAAAUAGGAUUUUUGAUCUUUUAUCAUCUAUAGUAUUCAAGCUAUACACACUUUCAAGAGCACAGAAAAGAGUAUAGAUACACGUACACAAGAAAAAGAACACUUUUUGAUAUGUAGAAGCUACCUCUUUGUGAACCGAAAAUACUACUAACAUUGGACAUAAUAAAAAUUCAGUGAAUAAAUAUCCAUUCGCAUACAAUCACCUACACAUAUAUUCUCUCAGGAGGGACGAUUCGACAAACAUUAUUUGCAUCUGCAAAGCCAGAUCAAAUUACCUAGUCACUCGUCUACUAAUUCAGAAUGCCAUCUCUUUUGUUUAGGGAUUUAUCAAACAGUGGUUUGAGCGGUCUGAUACCGACAACUUUUGCCCAACUGCCAAGCCUGCAAACGCUGUAAGUUACCAAGACUUGGUUUAGUAUGUUGCUGUAGGGGUUUCAUGAAUCAUGUAUAAGAAAAAUUAACGAAAUGAACGCAGCGGAAACAAAGAUAUAUUUUACACAUGAUUCUCAUAAGGCGUUGUUCGUGCGUUUUAAUAAAAAAAUCUGAAUAUAAUAGGGAGUUAAACAAAAUACCUCUCGAAGCGCGCUUUGAAAUGAGUCGAUUCGGAUGUUCUACAGUUCGAGUCCCACAAACGUCGGACCUCUAGUUCAGACAUACCAACAACGAACGUCGAACAUAGAGAGAACUUUCGGAUGUUCACCACUACGAUCGUGCUAGCAAUCACGUGGAAACAAUCCGUCGUAUUCUUGAUGUAUAGUAGUCACAGCCUGAACGAGAUAACACUCUUCUUUCUUGCGCCUCAAAGACACAACAACACGCACACACUUUGCUAUCUUUUUCAGCAAAGCAUCUUCUCUCUUAAAAACUAGCGCACGCCCACAUUUCUCUGUAUUUCAACCCUUUGAAGUGUCACACCAAAAACCAACUCUUUAAAAUAUAUAAACAGAUCAGCAACGGUUCCUGAUCGAUGGACGAUCAGCAACCGUUGCUGAUCGUCCCCACUCAUGCACGAUUUUGUGGAUGAUGGUCAGCGGUUGCUGACCAUCCAAGGUUCAUGCAUGUGCUUCGUGCACAUGCAUGAAGCUUUAUAUAUAUUAUUUUAUUAUUUAUUAUUAAAAGGUAUUAAUUAAUUAAUUAAUUAAUUAAACGAACAAAUAAUUAAUUAAUCAAUCCCCUUUUAAAAUAAAAAGAACAUAAUCUUUAUAUGUUGUUGACACCUAAAUUUUCCCAUUAGGAUUUAAUUGUCUACAAAAUUAGGAAUUAAUCGUUUAAAAAAAACAAAAAACAAAAAACAAAACAAACAAAAAGAAGAAAAUAAAAACAACAAAGAAAAAAGAAAAAAAGAAGACAUGGAAAGGGCCGGGCCGGAUCUCGCCUUGGCCCGGCCCAUGCCGCUUUAUGUCUCCAUCUUCGCCGAAACCCUAGCAACAAAAAGGGGGGGAGACCUGCAAGGAGAAAAAAGACCAGACAGAAAGAGGGAGAGGGUCCGAAAAAAAAAACGGAGAAACAGAGAGCCAAAAAAAAAAAAAAGGAGAGCUGGAGAGGGGAGCCCCUCCGUUGCCUGGGGGCCGAGCCCCUACGGUCGCCGCCUCCGUCCCGGCCAGAUCGCCUCCGCCACUACCCGCUCUACCGCGUCAGAACGCCGACCCCGAGCCUGCUGCUCGUGACCUCGCCCGUCUUACUGCUGCUGCAUCCCGACGCCAGUAGCCCGAACUGGUCACCGAGCCCCCUCCCAACACCAGCAACCCGCGAAGCCGACGUCAUUGCUGCGCGAACAAGCCAAAUCUGGGGGAGGAGGGCAGCGGCGGCGCUGCCGUCUACGUCCAAGCGCUGCCCUCGUCGCGUCACGCUCCGGCCACUGCUCAUUUCCCCAUGACNNNNNNNNNNNNNNNNNNNNNNNNNNNNNNNNNNNNNNNNNNNNNNNNNNNNNNNNNNNNNNNNNNNNNNNNNNNNNNNNNNNNNNNNNNNNNNNNNNNNUCAUUUCCCCCAUGACAGCACCGCUGUCCCGACCUCACGCUCGAGAACCCGACAACGGCAGAUCUGAGCCGAUCGUCGCUCCACCGUCAAGAAAGCCCCGCAUCGGCCCGUGCCUCCGCGCUGUUUCUCCUGGCUGUGUCUUCACCAGUCACCGCCGUGCCUUGUCUCGUCUACUCACCCACGAACACCGCCCUGCCAUCGUCGCCCUGCAUGUCGCGGUCAAGCCUGAGUGACUCCGAGCUUUGAAGCCGCAACGUCCCUACUCCUUCGCCGUUGUAGCCCCUGCAACGCCGACCUUCCUCGCUCGCUGCUCGCGGCCUCCAAUGACAGCAAGUCCUACUCCGGCGCCCAGCAAAUCUGCUCCAAGGCUCCUGCAACUCGAAACCCGCGGCGCCCCUUCAGUUUCGCCUUUUGCUGCUGCCCAAUGCCAUAGGAGCCUGCAUCGCCGGUCUACUGCCCCGCCGGACGUUGCCGCCAACGCCAGCAGCCCGGCCCCCUUUCGCUGCGCGACUUGCUGCACCUAUCGCCGCCGCCCGCCGCCCACCGCGUCGCCGCCACCGCCGUCAACACAAAACUCUAAAGUGGAGGUACAAACCGGGUCAAAGAAAUGGGUAGGGUUUUAGGUGAAUCAGGCUGAGUUUGGGCUGUUUUUGCUUGUGGGCUUUUAGGCUUGGGCUGGUUUAGUAUAGGCUUGUGGGCCUGCUUUCUUUUAAAAAGAGAGGAGAGGGACCUCUUGGGUUGGGCCCGCGAUUCGGGCCCACCUGCUCCUAAUCGGACCGAACCCAGGUCCGGUCGGAGACGGGACCCGAUCUGCGUCGACCGGGCCGAACCCAGGUCAGGUUGGAUCGGACCAGUCCGAUUCAGUUCAACAAAAAAAAAUUUUAAUAUUAAAAAAACAAUUUCGAAAAUCCAAAAAAUAUUUAAAAUUUUAAAAUUUUAAAAAAUUAUUUUUCUUUUAACAAAAAUUUUUAAAAAAUAAAAUAAAAUUUAAAAGUUUCGAAAAUCCAAAAAUGAUGGGGUUUGAUUAGGACUUGCCAUGUAUUGCCAUUUUAGCGUAAUUAGACCUUUAUGUGCUCGUAUAUUAAUUAUAUUGCAUUUUUUUAUUUGCAUAUCUAAUUAUAUUUGAUGGCAUGUGUUUAAUUUUAUGGCAAUUAGGAUUUUGGUAGUUAUGGUUAUUAUUUUAAUGAUUGCGCACCUGCAAGAUCACCUCACAUGUUAGUAGAUAAGCAUAAAAUCAAUUCAAGCUGCAUGCUAAAAAUUAUUUUGAUAAAAUGAACAAGAUUAGGUACCGAAAGGGCACUAAUUAGUUAAUUAGUGUAAUCAAGUCCCCGAACCUAGAUUCUCUGGUUGCGUAGGAAGUGAGGCACGCUCCCAUGCCUCACUUGGUUUCUAGCCGACCCUAAUAGGCUAGUGGCGACUCCUUUUGUGCAAAAUUCAUGAAAAAUAUCCCAACGUCAAGCGGGGUAUGGGCUUGGGAGAGCCCGCGCCCAAUCAUGGGCCUUAGGCCCGUCCUUUGGGCAAUACCCCUAAACCUGUUCCCUCCCCCGAGGGUAGGUCGCGACAUAUGUACAAUUGAAAUCCCUAAUAUGUAACUAUUACAUAGCAGCUUUAGGGCAUACAUCUAACAAUCUCCCACUUACACUAAAGCCAACUUGUUUGGUACCUCAAACCCAUUUGGUCAAUUCAUUGCCAUUAAUUAAAUAAUAAUAAUGAAAGUACACAAUUUGGGUAUGUUAACAUAUAUCCACUUUGGGCAUGCGUGUGCAUCAUAUGCAAGUAGGCUCGUGACUAUAAUACAAAUUAAAUUAAAUCUCAUUUAAUUUAAUUUCAAAUCGACUCAAUUCGAUUGCAGUAAUUGCAAACACAUUUGCAAUAAUAUUUCUCUCUUGUUCCACGUCAUCCUAAUUGUUUAUGGUGUGUGACAUUCCUAGGUUCAUCACUAAGCUGGUAGUAAGACUUGUACUAACACAUUAGUACUUCCAAAAGAAUUAAUUGUCCCGAUUAAUCUUUUAGGUCCUACAAGCCACAAUUGACAUCUAGCAAUAUGUCAUGGCUACCCAGAUAGUGUGAAUACUUUAAGAACAUAAUGAACCUGUCAGCUUUGGCUACAGUGUAAUUCAAUCCAUCUGUCUUACUAUGUCCCGAUCAAACAAAGACCAUGUAAUAUUUGUCAAGUCAUUAAUUCGAUCAUAUGUACAAAUCUAAUUGACAUGCAUUUUAUUCAAGAUAUAAACAAUUUAUUCUCGGUUAUAACCCCGGCUGAGGAUUUCAAUGCAGUGUCACAAUUAGAUCGCAUAGGACAUCAUUAUCAUACAUUGCAUAUAACAAGGAGACAGAUUCCAUAUUGCGCACACGCAUAACUUCAUAUAUGAACAAACUAUGAUCAUCGGGUAUAAAGACGGAUCAACAACCCGGCAUUAUGUGCACCCGUGAACCAUAGUUGUUCAAUACACAAGUUAACAUUGUGCCUCAGGUCUAAGGAUUAUUUACACAAGACCAAAGCAUAAACAAUUAGACAUUGACCACGCUAAAAGCUUCCAUGUCGCUAAUCGUUCCAUUUGCGUCACGUUCAGUGAAUUUGUCUAAUACAAACACCUGUGUUCUAACUCAGGCAUCAUAAUAUCCAAUGACAUGUGACUCAUCAUUCCCUUAAGUAUCCAAUACUUAAUGGCGAAGUUAAGAACACACCGGUCUCAACAAGAUUAUUAAUAAUCCACGCCCUGCAAGAGGCAGGGCAAAAGUCUGAGAGUGAGUGUAGAGUAGGACUAGAGUAGGACUGACAAAAAAAAAAAAAAAGGAUUAUUAAUAUCCACUUAAUAAUCCAUCGACCGGGAACGAUUUAAAGAUUCAGUCUAACUAUGAACCCGUCACAUAUAUUCUUGACGUCUCAAGAAUAGGUCUAGUUGCAACUGAUCUUAUGGAAUCAUUCAUCAAUAUAAAAUAAUUGGACAAAUGAAUGAAUACAUCAUUGCCAUUAAUUAAAUAAUAAUAAUGAAAGUACAACUGGAAUCCUUAAUAUGUAACCAUUACAUAGUAGCUUUAGGGCAUACAUCCAACAAUCUCCCAGUUGCACUAAAGCCAACUUGUCUGGUACCUCAAACCCAUUUUGUCAAUAUGUCUUUCAAAAGAAGACUAAGGUAAGGCCUUAGUGAAGGGAUCUGCCACGUUUUCUGCUGAGGCAAUUUUCUACAAGGCGAUAUCACCUCUCCCAACAAUUUCUCUGAUGAGAUGGAAGCGUCUCUCAAUGUGCUUGGACUUCUGAUGAGACCUUGGUUCCUUAGCUUGAGCUAUCGCCCCAUUGUUGUCACAAAACAAUGUGAUCGGUUGCUCAAUUGAAGGAACGACUCCAAGUUCAGAAAUAAACUUCUUCAUCCAAGCGGCUUCCUUUGCUGCUUCAGGAUAAGCUACAUACUCUGCCUCAGUGGUGGAAUCAGCAGUUAUACUUUGUUUGGAACUUUUCCAACUAACUGCACCACCAUUGAAUGUAAAGACAAACCCAGACGUAGACUUAUAAUCAUUAGGAUCCGAUUGAAAAUCAGAAUCAGUAUAAGCUACAACUUUAAAUUCUCAUUCUCCAUAUAUCAAUAAUAAAUCUUUAGUCCUUCGCAAGUAUUUAAGAAUAUUCUUGACUGCUAUCCAGUGCUCUUCUCUUGGAUCAGACUGAUAUCUACUAGUAAUACUUACAACAUGCGCAAUAUCAGGUCUAGUACAUAGCAUAGCAUACAUUAUGCUUCCAAUAGCGGAUGCAUAUGGUAUCUUUGCCAUUCGCUCUCUUUCUUCAGGAGUGUUGGGACACAUCUCCUUAGAAAGACGAAUCCCUUGCCUAAAAGGCAAUAAUCCUCUCUUGGAACAUUGCAUGUUAAACCGUGUUAACACUUUGUCUAUGUACGUAGAUUGUGAGAGGCCAAUCAAUCGUCUUGAUCUAUCUCUAUAGAUCUUGAUACCUAAAAUGUAGGUUGCCUCUCCUAAAUCUUUCAUGGAGAAUUUAUGUGACAAUAAUAGUUUUAUCGAUGAUAUCAUUGGUACAUCAUUUCCAAUCAAAAGUAUAUCAUCGACAUACAAAACUAGAAAUGCAAUUGCACUCCCACUGAUCUUCUUGUAUACACAAGGUUCAUCCGGAUUUUUGAUGAAGCCAAACGAUUUGACUACCUCAUCAAAACGGAUGUUCCAACUUCUGGAGGCUUGUUUGAGUCCAUAAAUGGAUCUCUUAAGCUUACACACCUUAUGUUUUUCACUAUUGGAUUCAAAACCCUGUGGCUGUUCCAUAUAGAUGUCCUCUUCGAGAAAACCAUUUAGAAAAGCCGUUUUGACAUCCAUUUGAAAUAUCUCAUAAUCAAGGUGUGCAGCUAUAGCCAACAUAAUCCGAAUGGAUUUUAGCAUAGCCACAGGUGAGAAAGUUUCGUCAUAAUCAAUUCCUUCUUUUUGACGAUAUCCUUUCGCCACCAGCCGUGCUUUGUAAAUUCCAAUUUGACCUUCAACAUUCAUCUUCCUCUUGAAGAUCAAUUUACAGCAAUUGGUACAAUACCAUCAGGCAGGUCAGUCAAGGUCCAAACCUCAUUAGAAUACAUUGAAUCCAUUUCGAAUUUCAUGGCUUCUAGCCAUUUUCCAGAAUCGAUGUCCAACAUCGCCUCCUCAUAGGUUUUAGGAUCACCGGGUUGAUCAUUAUCAUUCACAAUGAAUAAUGAUUCAAUAUGAUCAACCGAGUGUCUAUAACGAGCAGGUGGGUGAGACGUUCUCGCACUUCUCCUAAGAGGUUGUGUAUCAUAAGCUCCCACUGAAUCAGAGAUUGGUAUUUGAACUCAGUUGUUUGAUACUUCAUUAUUUUCUUCUUGUAAGACUAUUUUCCGCCCAGCACCACUUUCUUGGAUGAACUGAUUCUCCAAAAAAGAAGCGUGCUUGCAUACCAAAAUUCUUUGGUCUGAAUGAAAAUAGAAAUAAUAUCCAAGAGUUUCCUUUGGAUAUCCAAUGAAGCGACCUUGUUCAGAUCUUGCCUCCAAUUUUUCCAUUUUCAUCUUUUUCACAAAAGAUGGAUAACCCCAAAUCUUAAUAUGAUUAAGACUAGGUUUCCUACUAUGUCAUAUCUCAUAGGGCGUAGUUGGAACAGAUUUGGACGACAUUCUAUUCAGUAUAUAUACAGCUGUCUUAAGGGCAUAUCCCCAAAGGGAUAUUGGUAAAUCGGUGUAACUCAUCAUAGAUCGUACCAUAUCUAAUAAAGUAGGAUUUCUUCGUUCAGAUACACCAUUAUGUUCUGGAGUUCCAAGAGGUGUCCAUUGUGAUAAAAUGUUAUUCUCUUUAAGAAAGUCCAGGAAUUCAAUACUAAGGUAUUCACCUCCUUAAUCUGAUCGAAGAGCCUUAAUACAUUUUCCUGUUUGUUUCUCAACUUCAGCCUUGAAUUCCUUGAACUUUUCAAAGGAUUCAGAUUUAUACUUCAUGAGGUAUAAAUAACCAUACAGUGACUGAUCAUCGGUGAAGGUAAUGAAGUAAUUAUAACCACCUCUAGCAAUUUUAUUAAUUGGUCCACAUACAUCUGUAUGUAUUAAUUCUAAUAUGUCAGCAGCUCGCGCACUUUGUCCCUUAAAAUGCGCUUUGGUCAUUUUUCCUAGAAGACAUGCCUCACAAGUCGAGUAUGACUCAAAAUUUGAAGGAUCAAUGUAUCCAUCAUUACUCAACUUGUUAAUUCUGUCUUCUCCAAUAUGACCAAAUCGGAGAUGCUAAACAUACUUUUUAUUUGGACCGUCUCUAGGGCGUUUAUUAGUUAUGGCAUUUAUAUCAAUUUCUAUUUUGCUUAUUGACAUUGGUAAUCGCAUUACCGGACAUUGUAAUGGUAUAAAGAUUGUUGGUUAAUAAGCUAGAACCAACACAUAUUCUAUUAUGAUAAAUAGAACAUACAUCAUCAACAAAAGAAAAUUCAUAAUUCUCUUUACCCAAACGAGGUACAGAGAUGAUGUUCCUAACAGCAUUCAGCUUAUUUCCAGAUUCUGCAAAGACAUACAAAUAUGUGAAGUUGCAGCAGAAUCUAGAACCCAUGAGCUGGAUUCAGCACUAACCAUAAGAUUAAUUUCAAUAAGCAUAGACACCAUACCUUCAUAAGGUUGGUUCUUGGGCUUGACCUUCAAGCUCGCAAGGUACCUCCUACAGUUCCUCCUCCAGUUUCCUUUGACACCACAGUAAUAACAUUUCCCUUUAUCAAUCAUGGGUUUUGGUUGCACAACAGGUUUGGCAGGUCUCUUCCAUUUAUUCUUCUUUAAAAUAGUCUUACCCUUUGAAGAAGAAGCCUUAGCCAUAGCCACUACAUUUGGCCUCGUGUUAUGCAUUUCCUUCUCAUAAACUACCAACAUGCUAUGUAACUCAGCAAGAGUUUUCUCCAUCUUAUGCAUGUGGAAGUUUUGGACAAAACCAGAGAAGGAAUCGGGUAAAGAUUGGAGGAUCAAAUCCACAGCUAACUCAUUGUCCAUAACAAGAUUUAGCCUAGCCAAUUUUUCAAUGUGCCAGAUCAUUUUCAAAGCAUGAUCAUUAACUGAUGAUCCUUCAGCCAUCCUCAUACGGUACAAUGCCUUAGAUAUCUCAUAUCUAGAGGUUCGACCAUUCUCAUCAAAGUAUUCCUUUAAAUGCAAAAUGAUCGACCUAGCAUCUUCUAUAGAUUCAUACUUCUUUUGUAAUUCAUUAUUCAUCGAAGCAAGCAUAUAUGACCUAACUUUUAAGUCAUCAUCAUGCCACUUAUCAUAAGUGACACGUUCCUCUUGGGUCCCACCCUCAGGAAAGGAGGCUGGCAUAUUUUCAUCAAGCACAUACCUAAUUUUUUCUGAAUUGAGAACAAUUCUCAAAUUCCUCACCCAGUCAGUGAAAUUGGGUCCAGUCAAACAAUUCUUGUCAAGUAUAGAAGCGAGUGGGUUUGUGGUCACCAUUUUCAGAGUAAUAAUAUAUCUACUGCAGAAAAUAAAUUGUUAGCUGUUGUAUCUUUCAAAGUAACUAUUUCAUUUUGGCCUUUAAAUAAAAUAGAUCCUCCCACUAAAUUUAUAUUCGAAUCUCAUACUCCUUAAGAUGGGAAGCGGUAAUCUUUGUUGGGUAAAGAUUACUAGUGGGGAUUGGAGUCCCACUAGCCCAAAGUUCACCUCACCUAACAGUUAUUGGUGUCCUAUGAACUUAGUGAGUGAACCAGCUUGUUCAACACAUCAUAUGCGAGUCCCAAUCAUAACUUCGGCCUCUAGACCAUGAAAGCCUCACCUAAUAGUUAUUGGCAUCAUGAUCAUAGUUAAGUCUAGCCCAUCGUCUCAUGCAAGUAUUGAAAACACAAAUGAUUCCCUCACUUGACAGUUAUUAGAAAUCAUUUGGCUCCAACCCCACAGCAUCAUAUGCAUAAUGGAGUGGUCCAAUAUUAUAAAUGGUAAUUAACUCCUAUGUAUCCAUAACCGGUUAGUUAACCACUAUAAUAUUGGAUCAAACCACGACGAUGGAAGGCCACGAGUCUGAAACCCGUUUCGACUUAAUAUUCUUUGUAAGGAGAUUUGGGUCGUUAUUAACGGUCUCACUUUGCACAUUAACCGGUUUAACAUGCACGAUAUCAUAAACACAAUAAAUAAAUAGAUAUCACAUAAACAUCUAUCCUAUGUGGUGAUCAUAGAAUUAUGGUUCAAUGGGUCUCGAGCCAAAGAGACCCAUUUAGCCAUUUUAAUGUUUUAAUAAUAUGGACCCGCUCUUCACUUUUUCUUCAAUCUUUGAACUCUUCAAAGACCGGGCUCAAAGAGCUCACCGGUUUAAUGGCUCCUCCAAUGGCUCAUCCUCUCUUGUAGUAUUUACAUCAACAAUUGAAAUACUAAACUAUACUAAAAUUACAUAUCAAGAAAAAUUAAAGUAAAAUAAAAGGAAGGACGCAGCCUCCAUUUAAUAAUUACAUCCCCAAAAAGAAUACCUGUAAUCAUCAUAAAUUCAUACAUACAACAAUCACAACAUUUAGGGAUUUUUCCAUGAUCACCACCCUUCCUUACGAGCCAUAAAUUCAAAAUUUAAAGCUCUGGAAGGCAUGCAUAAAAUUCUGCAUAUCAUUUGCAAAAUAUAAACAUCAAGUAUAACAAGUUAUGGAAUUUUGAUUCAAAAUUGAUUUAGUUCUAAUUUUUGCUUAGUUGAUUAAAUUUAUCAUAUAAAUUAAUCAACUUCUAUAAGCCACAUAAAAGGUAAGAGAACAAAUUCUCUUAACAAAAAUAAAUUGGCCAUUAGAACGCAAAAAUAUAUUUGAACUACAAAUCAAUUAAACGCACGAAAAACGCCUAAGGUUGGCUCUGAUACCACUGUUGGGAUUUCAUGAAUCAUGUAUAAGAAAAUUAACGAAAUAAACACAGCGGAAACAAAAGAUAAAUAUUACACAUGAUUCUCCUUAGGCGUUGUUCGUGCGUUUUAAUCAAAAAUCUAAACAUAAAAGGGAGUUAAACGAAAUACCUCUCGAAGUGCACUUUGAAACGAGUCGGUUCGGUUGUUCUACAAUUUGAGUCCCACAAGCGUCGGACCUCUAGUUCAGACACACCAACAACGAACGUCGAACGGAAAAGAGAACUUUCGGAUGUUCACCACUUCGAUCGUGCUAGCAAUCACGUGGAAACAAUCCGUCGUAUUCUUGAUGUAUAGUAGUCACGGCCCGAACGAGAUAACACUCUUCUUUCUUGCGCCUCAAAGACACAAGAACACGCACACACUUUGCUCUCUUUUUCAGCAAAGCAUCUUCUCUCUUAAAAACUAGCGCACGCCCACCUUUCUCUGUAUUUCAGCCCCUUGAAGUGUCACACCAAAAACCAACUCUUUAAAAAUAUAUAUAUAAACAUAUCAGCAACGGUAGCUGAUCGAUGGACGAUCAGCAACCGUUGCUGAUCGUCCCCACUCAUGCACGAACGAUCGUGCAUGAGCGGUUGCUCUCAUACACGACUUCGUGCAUGAUGGUCAGCAACUGCUGACCAUUCAUGCACGAUUUUGUGGAUGAUGGUCAGCGGUUGCUGACCAUCCAAGGUUCAUGCAUGUGCUUCGUGCACAUGCAUGAAGCUUUAUAUAUAUUAUUUUAUUAUUAGUUAUUAAAAGGUAUUAAUUAAUUAAUUAAUUAAACGAACAAAUAAUUAAUUAAUCAAUCCCUUUUUAAAAUAAAAAGAACAUAAUCUUUAUAUGUACAAUUGAAAUCCCUAGUAUGUAACUAUUACAUAGCAGCUUUAAGGCAUACAUCUAACAGUUGCUUCCCAUUUGGUUAUGCAAGAACUCAGUAAGCAUGAACGGGUCAUUAUUAACUAAUCGAGAGUUUUAAUAUGCGUUUUGCUCUCUCCAUUUGCAGAAACUUAAGCAAAAACAAUUUAAGCGGUGCGAUUCCUUAAGCCCUUAUGAAGAAGGUGGCAGAUGGAACGUUGAGGUACAUGACCCAAGACUUGAAGUUAAUCUCAAACUGACAAUAGAAAUUCUAAUUAUUCUUGUUUCCUAAUUAUUAUCUAAGUUUAAGGCCACAGUAAAGAAAAAUAUUAAUAUGAAUACCCCAAAAAGUCAGGAUUUCUUCCCAGUUAUCUUAAUCCUUUUUUUUAUGGAUAACUAGUUACAAUAUUACAGUGUAGAAGGAAAUCCAUAUACGUCUCAAGUAUAUGUGUCCAAGCCAGAUCCCAGUCCUAGCGCAAAGGGCCAAGCACAGAACAAGAAAAAAUGGAUUGUGCCGAUUAUUAUAUUUAGUUCAUCCAUUUUAGCCCUAAUCUUCGUGUACUCUCUCGUCAUCAUAAUUUUGAGAACCACAAGGGGAAGACGAAGGUGAUUUUCAUUUCCUUUUUCGAGUAUAAUCUCUACCCAAUGAUCACUUGUGGUAAUCAAUUAGUCUUCGUUUGUCUAGUUAACGCAAGAGAACCAAAUGAGGGUACAUUCAAAAUGAUGAAGGAACGAACAUUUUGAUUCGACGAAGUCCUGCGCAUCACUGAGAAUUUUAAGGUGGUGAUUGGAGAAGGCAGAUUUGGGAAAGUCUAUUUUGGAACUCUUGAUGAUGGCUCCAAAGUUGAGGUGAAAAUGUUCUGCCAGUCUUCACGGCAAGGUCACAAGGAAUUUCUAGCCGAGGUUAGAACAUGAAAUCGAAUUGAUUUUCUAUAAAUGGAUAACGCCAUCUAGAAUUUUUUUUAUUUUUUUAUUUUGCACCAACCAUUCUAUUUAACCUUAACGAGUUUAUGAUUCUUCUUCUUCUUCUUUUCCAUGCUGAGUGCAGGCACAACUUCUGAUGAUUGUUCACCAUAGGAACUUGGUUUCUCUAAUUGGAUAUUGCAAUCAUGUUCGUGGCAUGGCACUAAUUUUGCGACUUCAUCUAUUAUGGAAACCUCAGGCAACUUUUAUCAGGUACGCAGUACUAUAGCAAUAUCGUGUUUCCAAAUUGGUUGCUCAAUGAACUAUAUAUAACAGUUAUAAGAGAUGUUCAUAACUAGCAAGGCAACUAUAUAGAGUACUAGUAGAAGUGUAACUUGUCUCCUUCAAUGUUUGCAAUACGAUUAAGUCCGAAAAGCAUUCGUUGUGGUGACUUCUUGAGCUUAUUUCUUCAUCUCUACAGAAGAUAAUGUGAAUGUCUUGAGCUGGUCACAAAGAUUGAACAUUGCAAUCGAUGCUGCUCAAGGUAUAAAUUGGACGAAGCAAUAAUAAUCGAUUUGCUUUCAUUAGACAAAACAUGCAAGCGAAGAUAGCAGAUUUUGGGCUAUCCAAAGCUUUCGCAACCAAUCCAGGACUCUCACGUUUCAACUAGCCCAGCUGGCACGCCAGGUUACCUUGAUCCCAAGUGAGUGAUCUCAAGACUCUAUUAACCUUGAAACUAGACCUAAUGAUAAGCACAGUGAUUUUAACAGUAUAUCAUUAUCGCAGCUGGGGCUAAAUUUUUGCCUAUUAGGCUCCACAAGGCACUACCCUAAGAAUAAGAUAAUUUAAUUGAAGCAGGCUUGAGCAAUCUCUUCUCCCUCGAGCGGACCCUCAGAUUGUUAGGUGAAUUUCUGUGAUAUAUAACAAAUAAGAUGGCUUGGGCAUCGGUUAAAGCUCGAUCUUCAGCUCAACCAAUUGCUAGGCACCUGUCUAAGUUAGGCAAUUGGGAUUAGGCCUGAUUCCAACAAUUUAGAAAUACCAAAGAAAAGCUUUAGCUCACAAUUUUUUAGUAUCUGUUAUGCCUCCGGUUCUCCAUGGUUUUGCUGAACAAAUCUCACUUUCCGACUUUGAGAUUUCAAUCAUCUGGCAAUCUUAGUUGGAAGAGCGACAUGUACAGCUUUGGGAUCAUACUGCUCGAGCUCAUCACCAGCAGACCAGCCAUCAUAAGGAGCCUGAAGAGUAGCACCAACAUUAUCGAAUGGGGGACUCCUCUCAUAGAGCAAGGGGUUCUACACAGCAUUGCGGAUCAGAGGCUCCAAGGCCAGUUCAACACUGCAUCAGUUUGGAAAGCAGUGGAGACAGCAAUGUCCUGCGUGAGCCUAACUUCGAUGGGCAGGCCUGACAUAAACCAUGGCUUAUCUGAGCUCAAAGAAUGCUUAUCUCAUGAAGCCAAUGCUUCUGGGUCCUUUGAGUUGACCUCCUUGGAGAUCGAUCAGGCAACGCAUGCCAGGUAGGUUGCUGAAUUAACCUGUUUAGGUUUUGGCUCACUACUUACCGGAUCCAUGUCAGUGAAGUCGGAUUAUCCAUCGGUCCGGGGUUUAUUUUCCCAAGGUGGCGUUUUUCGUCAUCCAAAUAAAUGAAAAUACAUGUAACUUUUUAUCAUGAUGACCCGUUUCUUGUUAUUAAUUUGCAUUUGGAUGGUAUUGUUGUGGAAGUGUGGCGAGGGUGUGCUGUUCUGAUAUGCUCCAAAAGUGCUUUCUUUGGAUCUGUGACUCUGAAAGAAUACUUAGUUCUUAUCUGAGUAAUUCCUAUGAGCUUGCGUCCUUUGUAUCCUCUGUAUUCCAUAGAUAAUUAUCUCGACUUCUAACUUUAGAGUUAAUCAAAGUGCAAAAUAAAUUAGUUUUAUUUAUUCGAACCUAACUCUAGUUUUGUCGCACCUAAAUUGUUUAUUUCUAUAAAGUUAGAGUCACAUGAGAAAUUAAGCGGCUUUAACUACGAUCAAGUAAGUGUUAAAUGCAAAAGAUGUAUGAAGACCCACAUCAGUAAAAGGAGAAAAUGAUAUUAGAAGUGCUAAAAGUUUUGUAUAACACUCACUUUAAUGUCAUUUUUUUUUUCAGAUUACUUAGGUACCACUUAAAAAAAAAAAAACGACCACUUAAGUGCUAACUCCGAUCUAGGUAGCUAGAAAUUCAACAUGACUAUAUUUUAUUAAUUUCUCAAUCCUAUAUGGCUCACUAGCGUGCCUAGUCAACAUAUAACUCACAAACGAUAUCGUCUAAAAAAUUGUAAAGCGAUCAAUUUAGUGUCGAUCAUUAUUAAAAAGUAAUCACUUCAAUACCAAGCACAUAACAGGGAAAUGCCAUGUGGACUAGAUUUUUUAAAUAAUAUGGUAAGUUAUAUAAAAUUUCUAAUUAUAAAUUAUCAUUUUUGUCUUGUUGGCACGUAAUUAUCAUUUUUCUCCGAUUUAGCACUUAACUGAUCUUAUGGAAAAUUUUGGCAUUAAAAUGAACGCCGUACACAACUUUUGUCACUUUUAGUGUUCAUCUGCCUCAAUAAAAGCAUGUUUUUCUUUUCGAUUCUCUUUCAUCAACUCUAUUUCUACACUGACCAAAAAAAAAAAAAAACUCUAUUUCUACCAUUCCAUAUUUACACAAGUAAAAAAAUAAUUCUCUUCAAUCCCAGAGAUGUCGGGAAGAAAAAGUACUUUAGUUAUAUGGUAUCUAUAUUUUCGUUUUUCGAACUGCGCAUGGAGAUAUAGAUGUAGCUUGCAUGGAAUUCAGUCAGAAAGGGCACAAUAUUAGAACUUCACGACUAGAUAGUGUAGAGUAGGGAAGCGUGGCUCUAUACUACUUGUUGGGUAUGGUGACAUGGUUUUGAUAUCAAAUGUCGAGUUGAGAAAGCUGUGAUGUCCCUUAUCGAGUGUAUACAUUGGCGGGCACAGUAAGAAAAAGCAUUAUUUCAUGAACUUGAACAUACCAGUUUCGAUGAGGGUACGUAAAGAAACGAUACACUCAGCCGCAAAUGAAGACCGCACUUACACUUACGAUUUCUCACUCAUACAACUCAAGUCACUCACUUGGACACUUGCAGAACUCCCUGACGACUCUCGGAUCACAAAUCUCCAGCUGUAAUGUGUAUGAAUCCAAGCAAAUCGAUAGAUGAAGAGAAAGCCGAAAAUAACUGCUUCACUUGAACAUUGAUCAUAUAAGUGCUUCCCAUACCAGUGCAAGAGGCCAACUUGUCCCUUCAAUGGUUUUUGGUGUUAGAUAAAUCUUAAUCUGGCAGGUCAGACUAGCACGGAAUUUCAAAGGUGGACACUAGGAUAAAAAGUUCUCCCUUCAUUCUUCCCUGGCAAAUCUAUCUCUCUAUCAAAAGCGAGGUUUCCCUUCCUUUAUAAUGGCUCCUCUUACUAAUCUAGCCUAAAUAUGAGGUUUCUGUAUGCGACAUACUACUUUUGUUUUGGUACAAUAUACUAAAGUGGAUCUGCAAAAUUAAAAUAUGUCUCCUACAGGCAGUAUGAUACAGAUUGCUUUAUCAUCAUGGUAUCGCAUACAUAGUGCGAUUUAAUAGCUUAGUACGCACAGACCCAUGCCUCCGAACAUUAUGAUGACAACUCCGGGAAUAUUCGCGAGGACAAUAUCAAAGCACCAAGCAAAGCAACCGAAAGUUUUAAGAGAUUCGGAAUCGAUGGGAAUGAAAUUUUUGACUGAGAAUGCAUUCAAUAAUCAAGAACAAUCAUGCACUGAAAAGAACAAAUUCGAAUGCCCCCCUAAACUGUCAAGAGUCUGAGACCAAGCUGGACGGACUUUGUUCGGGCAUUUCUUCGAACGCGUAGUGGACAGCGCGUUGGAGAGCAAAUAUAGACUUUUUCAGAGCUCGAACUCACACCCAAACUCGAGAAAUCAGCGAGCAACGUUCGAACUUAAGAGAAACCGACUCAUUCGGGUCCGACGCGGUUGAGGACUAGGGAAAUCGAGCUUGCUUAGCUCUUUAAAAUCAAGCGGGACGCAGCUAAAAAAAGGAAAAUAAAAAAUAAAAAAGAAGAAGAAGGAACGAGCACUCAAUCGCAGGACCCUACCUGGCUUGGCGACGACGUCCGGAAGCCGGUCUUAACACACAUCUAGCUAUGGCCGGCCGUCUUAGUGUCGCCAAGCCGGGAUCCUUAAGAAAACAACGGAUCGAAACCAAAACUCAACUCACCAACGUCGGUGGCGCCAGUUCGCCAAGUCAUUUUCUUAUUGUUCUCCAUCGGGGAAUCCGUCCACUGCCUUUUCUUGCUCAAGCCAAAGCACUUCUCUUUUGGCCCCCAAAAGCGAAGUAAAAAUUAUCCACGAAUGCCGUGGCAAGUUCUUGACUUCCGUAAUGGAAAAGAUUGCAUCCCAUAUACUUGGAUUGAAGAAAAUAAAAGUGAUUUUUGCUUUAAAAUGGUCUAAUUAAUUUGACAAUGCUCUGGAUCUUGCCGUGAGUGCAUUGUGAUCAGGAGUACUCUUCCCCACAAGGAAAAGCUUUGUCAAUGGGGCAUCGUGCAUGCAUAUCCAAUCAGACUUAUUAUUUGGGAUUUUUUUUUCCCGCUGGUUUAACUCCAUACAUAGAAGAAUUUGACCAUUAUUGGUUGUGCUCGUAAAUUUCAUUUUUCUAUUUUUAGAAUAGAUUUCUAUUCCAUAAAUAUAUUUGGAGCAGAAAUCAAAAGUUAAAACUUUUCUAUUUCUGGAACAAAAGUGAGAAAUGAAAACUCUUCUUAUCGUUCACUCUCGUCACCACUUGCCAUCUACUCGCCGUCCGUGGCAUGCUGGACGCUAGCCACUAGCUGCCGAAUACUGGCAGAGGGGCAUUGGAUGCCAGCCCCUCUCCCCCUCAAGAAAUACAAAUUUUAUUAUGUUAUCAAACAAAUUUCUACUUCAUAAAUAUAAAUUUUGAGUCGUUAACAAACGUGUUUCUUUACUUAAAAACUCGUCUAGGGAAUAGAAAUAGAGAAAUCAAUUUUUGCCCAUAAAUUGAUUUUUGUUCAAAAAAUAUUGUCAUGUGAGCCCUUAUUGAUGAGGGUGCGCCUCCCUCUCCCCCUAGCCCAAUUUCCCAAGUUUAUUUUGCUUCGCACCUAGGGAUGAAGGCUCCCCAUCCUCCAUCGAGCAUAAACCCUAAAGAGGAUGAGAGCAAUAUAAGGACAUACUCAGAUCCCUAGGGUUGUCGCAAGUUGUGACUUAUAAGGACUUCAAAAUAGGGAUUAAAACAUGUUUGGAUUGAAAACCACAUUGUUGGGUCGAGUGUCCAAGCAAAAUGCGCCUGGACAAUCGGACACUAUUAUUUUUUAAAAUUUUCUCUUCAUUUUUUUUAUUUUUCUUUAUUUCUUUUCCUUUUUUCGACCCUUGCCAAGCUUGGAAAAAAAGGAAAAUAAAAAUUAAAAAAUUCAUAUAUCAUAAAAAUUGUUAACAUCAAUGCUGGUCGUAUCAUGUAAGAUAGUCAACGUCUAUAUUAGUAAUUUUUAGUUAAAAUUGGCCAAAUAAACUCAAUUAAUAAAAUGUGAAAAUGUUUUUGACUCAAUUAGUAAAACAAGAAAAAUAUUUAUGACUUAAUUAACAAAAUUAAAAAGUCUACAAUUGAAAUGAUCAAAAUAUAAUAGGUUUAUGAUUUUUGACUAAUUUUUCUCUAAUAAUUUAGGUUGAUUUAAAAUCAUCUGACGGAAUUUAUCAAUAUCGUUCCACUUGCUAUGCGUUAAAGAGACUUACCGAGAGAGAUGUUCAAGUCAACUCAAGUCAAGGAAAGGGCACUAUCAAAAGGAUGGCCAGAUUUUCAAAAGUGUACUCGUUACUUUUUUUCUGAAUGGCCCAAAAAAGAGAACGAUAAAGCAAUGUACUGCAUCUUUGGACGACCAUAAAAUGACGUCGACCACGACAACUAUAAACAGUAAGAAUAUUUGUGACACGAUCACUCUCCCCCAACUUGAAUUGGAAAGAAGCAUUCUACAUGCAAAACCACUAAUUUCAACUCAUUUGCGACCGGUCCAAUAAAUAAAUGCACAAAAUACAAAUUAAAAACAAAUACACCUAAAUUUAUAUGAUAUGUAAUUAAUAUUUUUUUUCAAUGAUAAAAUUAUCCCCUAAUUUUUAAUGCGAUAAAUAACUAAACGGGUUGCCAAAAUUUAAGCGUCAAUAAUCUUGUUAAAUGAAAACAUGCAAGCCAAAAUAUCCGACUUUGGUCUGUCGAGACCUUUGGCAGCUGCAAAUGGUUCUUACAUGUCAACUAGUCCUUGGGGCACUCCUGCCUACCUCCCCCCUGAGUAAUGGCUUACACUUAAUAUUGUUAAGAUGGUUCUCAAUCUCUAUUCUCGUAGAAAAUCCGACAGUCCAUGUUCUUAUUGUAUGUUGUGCAAGUAUAAACCAUUUGCUUAUGAAUUAAACAAGAAAAGUGACGUCUACAGUUUUGGGAUUGUGCUUCUUGAGCUAAUUUCAGGACAUCCAGCAAUCAAUACAAGUGGAGAUGGAAAAAGCGUGCACAUAUGUGAAUGGGCGAUUCCGAAGUUCAAAAAUGGAAAUAUACGCGGACUUAUCGAUCCAAAGGUGGAAGAAAAAUUCGACAUCGACUCAGCCGAGAUAGCAGCGAAGGUUGCGGAGUCUUGUACACAACAAAAACCAGAUGCAAGGCCAGACAUAAAUCGUGUUCUGAUAGAUUUGAAGAGGGCGAUUGAACUGGCAUUCAAGCACAAGUAUGUGGACGGAAAUCAAGAGGAGCAUAUAGAAGCGGCCUCCUUGGAAGUUGAAUUAGAUAAUGCACCCCGGUAAGGGUAGUUCAUUCGAUCCAUUAGCAUUCGUCCCGUCGAUUGUGAAACUUUGGCAACUCCCAGGACUAAAAUCAAGUCUUCCUAUAUUUUGAAUUUGUGUCUGUGUAAAAGAUCGGAAUACCCAGAGGCUAUUCUCGUCUGUGUUAUUAUAGAUAUUGAGUGAGCACUAUCUUUCAACAUAGUCAACUUCAUUGAUGGUUGUGAAUCGUUCAUGUUUUUCCUAAAUUACAGUUAGUAAUCAACAGGUUACCAGUUAUAUGAAUUUACAACGGUGAUUCAGAAUCUUGCGGCCAAAAUUACAUGUUUACCUUGAGCCGAAAAAAAAAAAAAAAAACAAAAAAGUUCAUUUUCUAAUACAAAAUUUAAGGAAUGUCCCCAAGAAAGACAACCGUGGAAUGAGAAAUUCUGUGUACCAUGGGAAUAUUGUCUAUACUAGCUUAAGCCGUGAAGCUAAAUCAUGAAAUCAACCAAGUGCACUCGAGAAAUGUGAAUAGAUAGGUAGAAGUUGACAUGUGAAUUCGCAAUCGGUCCAAGCAUUUUUUGAUUGACUGUAAUUAUAACAAGUAAUCUGAGUAUUUACUGUUAUUAGAACGAUGAAUAGGUUUAGUACCUAGAUGAAUGAAAGGAAAAACAAAGCAUUUUGUGCUUGUGACACCCUCAGUCAACUUCCUCCUUUCCAAUGGAACAAAUAAAUUGAACUAUACCAAGAAAAACAUGCAUUAAACAUUGACCCCGGCCCACUCACUGGGAGGCAGGCCACCAUGCCUUCAUGUUAACGAGAAGUAUGAGCCACAACUCAACACAACUUUUUUUUAUUUAUUAAUUUAUCAAUUAAUUUUGGUUUACCAACUCUCAUUUGAGUUGCUUUACUAACAUUUAGUUUUUAUUUAUUUACCAACUUAUUUAUAGAGUUCUCACUUUCUUUUGUCUUACUUACUAAAUUUUUAGACAUAACAACUCUUUUAAAAUAUUACCAAUCUCAAUUAGAGUGAUUACCAACUUUCCUUAUUCUAAGUCAGUUGCCAAUGUUAUUUUGUCUUUUCUUAAAUUACAAAUUUUUGUCUCUAACAAAAAAAAAUUCCCUAUAUCAUUUACUAACUUUUAUUUAUCUUUAUCAUCGAUGGCUUAAAUUUUCUAACUAAAUUAUGGUAACUCAUUUUGAAAGCCCAAUAUUAAGUUGUAAUUUAAUGGAACAAAAUUUAGCGAGUCGCAGUAAUUAAGUUGGUUAUAGAGUUAGUAAACGGCCCUCUAACCAAGGCAUAUAAAAGCUGAUAAAUCAAUUAAAAAGUUGGUAAAUUCAAACGGAAACUAUAAAAACAUUGGACAACAACUUAAAUGAGAGUUGGUAACCCAAAAUUAGUCGAUAAUUUAGAUCGAUAAUUUUGCAUAAAAGUUAAUAAACUUGAAAUGUUCAUGAGUUAUGUAGAUAAAAAGUUGGCAGAUUAGUAUAGAUAUUCCUAAUUUACAUAUUAUAUAAAUAAUUAUUAUUUUAUCAAAGUGUUGGUAAAUUACCAACAAGUAACCUAGAAAAAAAAAGAGUUACCGAUAAUUUUUUAAUCAACAUUUUCCAACACUCACCAAUAACUAUUGAAAUUUAUUGUUAUGGAAAAAAUCCAUAUUUUUCAGACAUGAAAAAAAAAUAUUGGAAAACUCUUUUAGCAUAAAAAGAAGGGAUAAAGCCACCAGAAACCUAAACUAUUUUCAUUUUGACAUAAAUACCAUGUAUUUUUUGUGGCACUAAAAAUUUAAAACUUGCACUUAUGUGACAUAUUAAAAUUUGUCUACAUUGAUUACAUUUUUUUGACAGAAAAAUCAUCUAACGAAGUCUUGAUACCUAAAAUUUUGACAAUCCGUUUAAUCAUUAAUCAAUUACAUAAAAAUUAGGAUUAAAUUAUAAACCCUAGCAAAAAUUCUCACUAAAUCAUAUAGACAUUAGGAGCAUUUGCAUUACUAGUAUUAAAAAUUUAAGAAAAAUAUUAAAAAAUUAUUAUUAAAAAUUAUUAUAUGAUAAUAACUUUUUUUAUUAAAAAGAGAGAGAGAGAAGGGGAAAAGCGAGACCGGGCCGGGGGCAGGCCGCCCCGGCCAAUUUUUUUCUUUUCUUUUUCACUCCCGCCUGGGCCUUGCCCAGCCCAUUUUUGUUCUUUCUUUUCAGCCCAAGCCGGCCUCUCCUUCCUCCUCUCCCUCACCUUCUCACGCAUUCCGCAAAAAAGGAGAGAGAGGACCCAAGGACAGAGGCAGAGGAGACAGGCGCGAGCGUCGCACCGGAGUUGGUGGUCGGGGGCAGAGCGGCAGCAACAGCUGGGGUUGCAGGAGGCCAUGUGCGCUGGGUGACUUAAAAGGGAGAGAGGAGAGCGAGCAAGGGAGGAGAUUCGGACGAGGGGGUCCGGAGAGAGAGAGCAGAGAGCGGGGCUGAGAGCGAGAGGGUUCCUCCGGCGACGGAUACGCUUGAACCCCGGCCGAAAUCCCACCGACGUCGCCCCACUUCCCGCGUCGAGCCCACGGUAGAUCCGGGUUCUCAUUCUUUUCUUGAUUUUCCUCCGGUCGGGUCGAUUUCCCGAGGGUCCCGCCUCGGAGACGCGCGAGACGAACGGACGUAGCGCGAUCUACCGAGUUCGCCCACCGCCCGUCGCCGCCGAGCCGGGUGGAGAGUACUAUCGCACGCCCCUGUUUUUACCUUCUUACGCCUCGUCUUGCCCUCUUUCGGGCUCGCCGGACCGGGGUCGCCUUUGUCCGGUUAGCGCGAGUUCCGGUCCCCAUCCGUACGUGUGAUGUGUUUUUUUCUUUUUUCUUUUUUGGGGUCAUUUCUUGUUGAUGGCAUGAGUCGGCACGAGUUUGGGUUCAGUCCAUUCGUUUUUUUUUCUCUUUUAGCCAAUGCACCUCUCCUGUUCGAUGAAAUGCUCGAACUGGAUUCCGCUUAGAACUCCUCUGAUUUUGGGUUGAUUCUGGGUGUACAUUGGUCCUUAGACUCGGAUUUGUAGUUCUUUGAUCCGUUGCUUGAUGUGUCGUUUCUUUGUGCGUAUUGUGUCUUUUCCGUCUAAUGCAAUGGUUGGCCAGAGUGACGGAAGUAGAUUUGCUUUUUCGACGGUGAGUCGAGGUGGAGGCCGACCAGGACGAUGGACGUUAGUUGCUGACUUGCUAUGGGUGUGUAUGGGCGUUAAUCAUCUGGUGUUAGAAGUGAAAAUUGAUGGUAAGUCGGUCUGGCGAUUGAAGACCGGUGAUGGGCGCAUAUUAAUUCAUUCACUGCGAAGCUUGGCGUUCGGGCAUGCUUGGGGGAGGUCACUCUUCUCGCGUUAUGUUGAAAUAGAACAGAGAAGGGGUGGUCAAGAGGAGUGAGCGUUGUGGGCUUAGCUAGGCAUAGUGGACUUUAGGCUCAUUUAGGCUUAAUGAAUCUUGGGCUGAAAUAGUAAUGAAAGGAAAAAGGGCUUGAGUAAUGGGCUUUGUGUUGCUUUAGGGAGAGUGGGCUUUUGAAGUUUCAAUUAAAAUAGGCGUAAGUAGUAAGCCCAUUUAAAGCAUGUUCUCGUAUAGCCCACGUUCUGACCCGGUCCCUAUUUUCGGAUUAUCAAUUAAAAAUAAUAAUAUUUAUUUAAAAAGUAUAUUAAAAAAUUAGCAAAAUUCUGAAAAUUUUUAUUUUUUUCGAAAAUUCAUGAAAAAGCUUAAAAAUUAGCUUUUGAUUAGUUUUCUCUUAAAAUGGACAAAAAUCCUAUACAAAAUUGUGCUUAAAAUUGAACAAAUUCUUAAGGCAUUACAAUAGGGUUUUAAUAUUCCUUUUUGAGACCAAUGCUCUUGAUUCCACAUUUUUAGUAUGUUGAUUAAGGUUGUCCUUUAGCCUAAUUAGGAAUGGCAUGUUCCUUAUUUCGUAGUGUUAGAUUCUUGUUUUCUCUUGUUUAAUGCUUUCUUAAUUAUUGAUUAUUAUUUUAUUGAUUGUGCAUCCGCAUUAUCGCUUUACAUGUUAUUGGAUAGGUUUAAAAUCAAUCUAGACUAUUUGAGAAAUGAACAAGAUUAGGUACCAAAAUUGCACUGGUUGAUCAAUUGGUAUAACUAAGUCUUUGACCCUAAAUUCUUUAAUUUUGUAAGAAGUGAGAUACAAUCACAUGUCUCACUUGAUUUAUAGUCAAUCCUAAUAUGUUAGUGAUGACUCAUUAUGUGGAAAUCAGUAUGGGAUUAAUUGAAUCAAAAUCGAAUAUCCUCACAAGGGGUAUAGGCUUGUGAGUGCAUGUGUUUAAAACUAGGGUUAGGCAAUACCUCUAAAUCUAUCUUCCUCCCUAUCAAGGGGUAAGUCACGAUAGUUAUAGUAGGUAUAGUUUGAGAUUUUUAUAUCAAAAACGAAGUUUAAGGUAAAUGUGUCAUAAUAAACUUAAUUUAAAAGUUUUUGUGACUUUUUUUCUUAGUACAAGGCAUGAGAAAUUAUGUACGCUUGAUUUUGCAGCAUGCUAGUAGAAGUCAAUCCUUUCUCGAGUCAUCUCAAGAUCAGUACGUACCCCAUGGUCAUGAGGAGAAAAUAUUGGGAGAAAAUGGAGAAAAUAUUGGGUACGUUUGGUGCUCCAGCGUGGCAAACAAGAAGGCGAUAAGAAGGCGACACGUGUCCUCGUGGGGCCCACAAUUCGGACUUGACUGAACAGGACAUGAGGCGCCAUUUUGAAAAAUUUGCACUCCUGUAGCUGCAGCAAAAGGACGAACGGUAGGGUUUUUUUUUUUUUUUUUUCUGCAAGUUGUCUUUCCGCUGCAGACCCUCUACUUUCUUCACGCCUCUCCUCUCCCUUCCUUCCGUAAAUUCAAAAUUUCAGGUUCGCUCUCUCUCCAGCGCUCGUGCUCGUGCUCAUGCUCCCGUCGACGUCCACCACAAGCUCGCUCGACCUCACCUCCAUCUUCACCGUCACUCUCGGCCUCUCCCUCGCUCCCGCUCUCCCUCCUUCGAUCUUCCCCCCGCCCCGCGCUGCCAUUCCGUUCGAGAACUCGAACCUCUCGAAGUUGGUGUUCCGGAGGACGGUCUCCUCAACCGGCGACGCGGUUGAGGGAGCUGAGAAGGAGGCCGCGAUGGAGUAGUUGAGGGACUUGACGUCGACGAGGCGAAGCCUCAGCUCGGGGCUCUUGACGCAGAGAAGAUGGGUGUGGAGGAUGCAUUGAAGAAAUCUGAGGAGAAGGCAAAGGAGAUGGAGUCGAAGCUGGUUGAAUUGCAGAGGCAGUUGGAACAGGCAGAGAAGGUGAUCAGUGGAUUGAAAGACAAGACGGCUGAGACCAUCAAUGGGAGGAGAGAGAUCCUCGACGCGAUUGAAGAAAAAGGGCCUAAACUGCAAUGGCCAGUCGUGGCAGCAGGGUCCACGGGAGCCAUUGUUGUGGCAGCCGCUGUGGCCUAUGUUUGCUACAGUAGGCGCCGAACCUAGGAUUCAGUGAAAGAAUGAGCAAGCAAGGAGGAAACGGGAGAGAGAAAAACAAAGAGCCUUAGAGUUUUCGAACUACUCUAUGUUUCAGUUUUGUUAGAUGCUACAGAUUUUCUUGGCUUUGUUUUUUAGCCUACGAAUUAACUCUAUUCUGGUUUUUGGGGGGUGUCGUUGUUUGUUUGAUAUCAUAUAUGGUCUGUCUAGAAGCUAGGGUGCGUUUGUUUGUGUUUCUGUUUAAAAAUUGUUCCAGGGAACAGAAAUAGAAAAAAGUGUUUUUGUUCCGGAGAACAAUUUUUGAACAAAAAAACGCGUUUGGUAAACUUGUUCUGGGAAUAAAAAAUAAAUAGAAACAUGUUUAGUAAAUUUGAAUAAUUUUUUUAUUUUUUCUAUUUUUUCCUUUUUUUCUUUUUCAUUUUUCAUUUUUCUUCUUUUGGCCGGCGAGGCCGAGCUCGCCUAGCGGCGGGCGAGGCGCGGCCUUGCUGGGCCACCGCCAGGCGACGCCGACUCGCCUAGAUCCAGCGAGGCCGAGGCUCGCCGGCCGCUAGGCGAGCUCGACCUCGCCGGAUCUGGGCGAGAUCGAGCUCGCCCAGGCCGGCGCGAGGUCGGCCUCGCCGGAUCUGGGUGAGAUCGCCCAGGCGACGCCGACCUGGCGGUGGCUCGGCGAGGCCGAGGCUCGCCGGCCGUUGGGCGAGCUCGGCCUCGCCGGAUCUGGGCGAGCUCGAGCUCGCUCAGCCAUGGCGAGGCCGACCCUUGCCCAGCUACGGCAAGCCUCGGCCUCGCCAUGGCUGGGCGAGGCCGCCGGCCAAAAGAAAAAAGAACAAAAAAAUAAAAGAAAAAAAAGGUAUUUCUCAAAAGUGUUUCUUGUUUUUGUUUCUUUUUUGUUCUUGGGAACAAAAAAACAAAAAAAAGUGUUUAAAAACAAAAAAAAAGAAUACAAACAAACACGCCCUAAAUUGCCGUUAAAAGCUAUUGAGUUAAGUAAAGUUUCCCUGACUUCCAUGGCAUUAUUUCUGCGGUUUUUGGAUAUGUUGGUUUGAUGCUCUACUUAAGCAUGUAUAGGGCUCCGGUCUGAGCUUUUCGAGGAAUCAUCCCUCGUGAGGGUUGGGGAAAUCAAGUUAUAUCCUGACGCAGGCAUGACAGCCAUAGUCAGCUCAUUUCCCACCCAGGACCUUCCUUCGGGAUCAAUCUUUCUUAAGUUGGUGGAACGUGAUAGUUGUCUAAACCUAAGAACCAUCAGCACCAUUACAGUUCGUUACGCACCAGGUUUCAUGCUUCGAAGGACAUGGCCUUCCAUUUGCAGAAACACACCUUCCUCAUCAAGAAAUUUGGUAGUAAGUUCAUUCAGGUUGUCAUCGGUUUGAUGAACCUGCGAAUGUCUUGUGCCCAGUGUGCGCAUAGCCCAUUUGCUUUCGCCAUCGCUGGGAGCCUGCAAGUGGCGGUUAAUUUGCAAAGACACUCCUGAACCUUGGAGUAUCAGAUUGCAUUGAAUUCGUUCGUGUUUUUCGUUGGAACUCGUCAGAUGCCGCAUUUCACAUUCGGGUUAAAAUCAUCUAGUCUCUUCCAUCACAUUCAGCUACCAAAAAUCUGAAAAGGGAGAGCACUAAAUUUUGCAGGGAAAGAAUGCAGGAAUAUAUAAUGUUCUGUUUUGUAAAGCUCUUUGAUUAGCACUGACGAGAUAACAACUCUUAAAAUCAUUUAAAACAAACAAGAGGAAGAACAUCAUCAACAUCUCCAGCAGCUUCGACCUCGCCGCCCGUUUCUCAGGAAAAUCACCAAUUCUGGGACUCAUCAAGUAGCACAUGCUCGCGAGCCGUCGCGGGGAUCUGUGCUGAUCGGAUUCUCUCCGAAUUUUCUGUAACGAGAAAUGAAACAGCACGCCUCGACCUGUCUGAGACAUCGUGCGAAAGCCGAUGGGAUAAACACACACGAUCCAUUUGGUCCCGCACGUCCGACCGGCAAAGACCUCGGACGACGACACAGGAACACAUCAACCCCCUAGCGAGUGACCCGUAUUCUCUCGCAUUCACUUUAACUCCGACUUUCGCGAUGCCUAAAGAAGAUCCGACCAACCCAAACGUGCCCUCCAGACCCCGCCUCCGGAGGACGACGUGGAGCUCGCCCACUUCGCCAAGCCACCACCUCGCCGCAACCAGAGGGGCAGCAGCAGCAAGUGCUUCGUCUAUGCCCUCACCCAUAUCGUCAUCCUCCGCACCGCCUUCCUCGGGUUCGCCCUCACCGUUUGCGUCAAGAGCCCCGAGCUUAGGCUUCGCCGCGUCGACGUCGAGUCCCUCGACUACUCCACCGCGGCCUCCUUCUUGGCUCCCUCGACCGCGUCGCCGGUUGGGGAGGUCGUCCUCCAGAGCACCAGCUUCGAGGGGUUCGAGUUCUCGAAUGGAACGGCAGCGCGGGGCGGGGGGAAGAUCGAAGGAGGGAGAGCGGGAGCGAGGGAGAGGCCGAGAGCGACGGUGAAGAUGGAGGUGAGGUCGAGCGAGCUUGCGGCGGACGUCGACGGGAGCAGGUUUUUUUUUUUUAUUUUCCAGAAAGAGAGCGAACCUGAAAUUUUUAAUUUUCGGAAGGAAAGGAGAGGGGAGGAGGGAAGAAAGUAGAGGGUCUCCACCGGAAAGACAACUUGCAGACAAAAAAAAAAAAAAAAAAAAACCCUACCGUUCGUCCUUUUGCUGCAGCUAUAGGAGUGAAAAAUUUUCAAAAUGGCGCCUCACGUCCUGUUCAGUCAAGUCCGAAUUGUGGGCCCCACGAGGACACGUGUCGCCUUCUUAUCGCCUUCUUGUUUGCCACGCUGGAGCACCAGACGUACCCAAUAUUUUCUCCAUCGUCAUGCGUAAAUUCAACAUUUGAGGUUGGCACGAAAUACCAACAAUUUGAAAAGAAAUCAUUAUCACAAAUGGAUAUGUAGUUGAUGACUUGACCACCUCAUAUUAUAUUUCUACUUUCGUCUUUUCACUAUCCAAAGAACUUUAGCAAGUGCUUCGUCUUUUCACUAUUCAAAGGACCACGUCAUCCGUGCUCUGAUCCAUUCACGCGUCGACACCUGUCCGCUGGCAGGUCCACGUCGGCUCCCUCUUCUCUCUCACGUCGUUUUAAUUUAAACCAACGCGCAGGCAUUUAAAAAACCGGAAAGGGAAUUCUCUCUCCUCUGUCUUCUCUCUCCUCUUUACUCCCUCUUCCUCCUACGACGCUCCUUCCGGUCUAGCGAUUCCUCCGACGACCGUCGCUCCCUCCCGACGACGGCCUUUCUCUCUCCACUCGACGGCCUCAUCUCAGCAGGGCUCCAUUCUCUCGGCGCACUUCCUCCUAAAUCACGCUCUCUCCCGACGGCCGAUUUCGCUCGCCUCUCUCCGUCCCCCGACUCGCGACCGAGAAGCAAUCGCUCCGCCCUGCUCGAAGCAGUCGCUCGAGAAGCCCUAAAUCUGCGACCGCAAGUCAGGUUCGAUUUUAUUUCCCGAGUUUUUAUGUUCGCAUCUUUGUUUUGGGGGUGAAAGCUUGGCCUAAAUCUGCGAUCAGAAGUUCACUGGUUUAUUGCUUCUGAUUCUAAGCGCAGCAACGCGAGAAGUGAAACUGUGACUGUCUGUCUCUCUACCCUUGUCCGGUUUUUCCGUUCUUGGCAAAUCCGAAGAUGAGCCCACUUCUGGAUACAUGAUCUUAGGCCGACCCGUCAAGUCGAAGCCCGACGUAAUCUCGCUGCUUCGCUCCACCGAGCUGUUGAAUCGCUUGUGUCCGGGGGGUUUCAAGAUUUUCCGGGGAGGCAAUCGCCUGUUCCGUCAUUGCAGACUUCCAGGCGAGAAGAAAUGUGCCCACAAUAAUCACCCCAACACCGAACCGCCUCCUUUGUCCUCUCUCGGUAUGUCGUCAUCCCUUCUCCGCUUUCGUUUUUUCAUUCGUCGUUUGGUUUCAGGAAGUGGUGGGGAUGUUAUAAGUAAAAGAAAGGAAUCGGGCCGUGAGGUUUCGCCUGAAUUGUGAGAGAUUAACGCGGGAGUGGUCGACCCCACGUCCCGUAUAUGGCGAACGGUAUGAUUUUUGAAUGAAAGCGGGUUCGCAUGAGCUAUGAGCGUUGGUGGGGAACGAGCAAGAAAGUGGGUUUUGCUGAAAAUUUUGAUCUUGUUGAAGUUGGAUUUAAGGGUAGGGAUUUUCUUGGAUUUUGGGCUCUCUCCGUCUUUCUUGGUCGCGCGAGCACGAUCUUAUGCGUGGAAAUACUUGUGUUGAUCCGUUCUUUUCUUUCAGUGGGACUUUGAUUGUGUAUUUUCCCUUUGGAAAUUGUGACUGGACUUUCGAUUAUAUGUCCCUCCGCAAGCUGAACUGUGGACCCAAUUUUGCCGCACGAAGUGGACUUUUAGAUCAGGCUGCCGUAACAAAAUCAUACAUGGGUAUCUAUCUGUCUCGAUUAUUGACAAGUUGGGAGUCACGGCAUUUCUGUUUGUUGAAAGCUAGUUAAUCUUAGAUGCUGUUUGUCAAGAAAAAUUAUAGGAAGAGUAGACACUGAACUAAUGUGACUCUUUUGAUGAACUGAACACAUGGGGUAGCUGAUAUUACUUGAGAUCUCUUGGAAUAGUUGGUGGGUGUAUCUAGAUUCAUGAACACCCUGGAAUUGAAUUAAACGGUUGCAUUUCUUCUAUUGAUAAGCAUUUUCUGCUCCUCUGCUCAUGCUUUGUGUCUGACUUUAGUGUCCAUUUUUCUUGUUUUCUCAUUCUCUUUUUUGGUUUUGCCGUAAAGGGAAUUAGUCGAAUUGCUUGUCAUCAAUGAUUGCGGUUAACCUUUUGACCUUGUUUUUGCUCACACUCUAUCUUGAGUUAGUUUAUCUUUUUAAUUCUGUCGGUCUUACUGAGUUCAUGGGACUUGGUGGUUCAAAGAUUUUAAUCUUAUAAUUUUGUCAAUUUUGAUUGUUUAUAUGGGUUCGUGCGUUGUGCAAUAUUAUCUGAGAAGGCCAUGCCAGAAUGGUUAAAUGGUUUAUUUGUACGGAUUUGUCACCUAAUUGCACCUUUAUGAUUCAGCACUUUUCGUUACUCCUUUCCAUGUGCUGCACGAAAAGCUUUUUUGACUUUGGUUCCGUUUAGCUAUUUUAACUUUCUCAGUAUAAGCAAAGUAUCAAAACUAACGUGUUUACUUCUUAAUAGUGCUUGCAUUCAAUUGUUACUUGGGUCACUUAUGUGAGAAUUUAGUGAGCAUGGCAAUAAUUGGCUUUCAUUUGAUUCCACUGUGGAAGUACUCCAUUUAGGAUGUCAUGGCAUAUUUGCUUCUUUUGACAAAGAGGAUCACUACUCUAGAGCGUCCUUGCCAAAUGAAUCUUUCAUAUGGUGCAUGAUCAGAAAAAUUUCGUUCAUGCUGUAGUUAUAUUGGAUUCAUAGCUUUUAGGCCGAUACUGAGAGUUCUUUGCCCAUCAUAUAUGCCAGGUGCAUAAUUUUGCAAAAUGCACGAUCAGUUUUAAAUCAUCGUUAUUUUUUCUCUCUGUAGAAAGCAAUCUUUGUUAUGGAUUGAUGAAGGCAUGAGUUGAAGAAAUCCUUGUUGUCCCAACUGCUCAACAGUGCUUCCAUGGAUGGCAAAAGUUCAUCUGAGUGAGCCUUCCCUGGUUCUGGAUUAUUUAGUAUUUGGCAAAAUUCAAGCAAGUUAAGCCAUCCCUCUUGCAUGGUAUUCACCUUCGACAGUAGCAUUUUGCAAGUUUUGGUCCACUUUCUCAUCAUUUUUGUUGGGCAUUCAUAUGGUUUAUGCUUUUCAGGUAUCAUUAAAGCGGCUCCAGAGUUACCUGCUCACUUGGGAAAAAAUAUGGAGGAAGUUGUUUCUUUGAGAUGCUUGGAGGAGUUAUGUGGCCCUAGAAAUGGAAGCAUGAACAGUACUUGGUCCUCAUUGGGAUCAGAGGCGAAGAUUGAUACAUCAAAGAGCUGCAAAAAUGUCCGACAGUAAAUGUUCCAUAAUGUGAGUUCUAAUAAAUGAUGCAGUGAAAAUGUGUUUUAUUUUCUUCAUGACAUCUUUCCACUGGUUCUGUUCUAAUGAUUGCUGAAGUUUGGUGUCUAUUCCCCUGUUUAUGAAUUUGUUAUAUGUUAGGGCUCUGCAUCUGAUCUUGAAGUAACUGCAAAUGAGUUUUUGAAAUGGGACCUUCACUCAUUUUUAACGCACAAGAGAACCUCUGCCAAAAACUGCUCUAGAGGAGGUAAGCAGAUCUUUCAUCCAGUGCUGUCUAUCUUCAUGAUAUCCUCUUUCAUUCAGGUUUAAAUUGGUUUUUUUCUUGUUUUUUGGCAGCUGAAAGAUACAAUACUUGCAGGUACCCAUCCACAUGCUGAUUCUAAAAAAAAGAGGGUAGAUUGGCAGAUGUUUGUCAUUUGAAUAGGACCGUCAUUCAUAAUGGUGGACAUACUGGACUUACAUGUGCGCCUGAUGUGGGAGACACAUACGCUCCUAACACAGUUGAUGAACCAAACUUGGUUUCUCGAUCCACCAAUCAUGUGGAGCCCUUGGUAGGAGAUGACGGUAUUAGGAAGUGUCUUCCCACGAAGAGGAACCAUAUUGAUGUUCACGCUGAAAAUGUUGAAAGGAAUUGUAAUGAGGAUCAACAUCAUGAUGCUCAUUCAGAUGCUAAAAGGGCCAAACAGCAAGAUUCUGAUGAAAUAAAGGACAAAGAAGAAUCACCAGUUGUUCUAACUGGAAGAUUAGGUUUCGAGAGAAAUGAUGGAUGUUCUGAUAGAGAGGUGGCUAACCUUGUCAAGGAUCAUAUGGGGGCUGUGGAUGACGACCAGUCGUUAGAGGGAGAUGGGAGGCAUUAUGUUCAGCCAAGGACUUGUGACGUACUUUGCGAUGGAAUGGAGUGGGGGUUUUCCGUUGAUGAUCCCAAACGCGUCCAUGACUCCAUAGAGAAAACAAAGAACAGUGAAUCAGCUCGAGCAUCGGAAUGGGGGCAGACUUUUACCAGUCAUGCAGAAGAUUACGUGGUCCACGUUGUCGGGGAGGAUAUGUCCAGUGAUGGUGAUGAAUAUAGAAAAGAGCAGACAGGAUCCUAUAACAUUAAUGUUUUCAAAAACACAUUUUGGUGAUUUAUAUGAUCUGAUUUACAUGAUCUGAUGUCCGGGAUUUGAGGAUUCAUGAUGUUUUCUUUACAAAAAAGCAAUAACUUGUUAGUACUGUCUCGUCAAUAAUCAUUCAUGUUGUCUCAUCAAUAACUUUUUAUACAUUAGUUGCUGAAUAAUUUUGAUGUUCACUUUCUUGCCUAAAUUCUUCUCCAAUUUGCUGUUCUUCGAGGAGUGCAAAUGAUACGUUGUUGAUUACUUACCUAGCCAUGCUCGCCAAUUGCUCAAGGUAUGAACAAACUCUUGAAUUAUUUACUUUUGACAUAUUUUGAGUAUGUCCAGAGUCAUGAUUUAGGAUGAAAAUAUUGCUCUAGACCAUCUUCUGGGUGAUAAUGCUUGAGGAUUGUGUAUAUAAAUCAAACCACACAAGUCAUGUGCUUGAAAGCUUAUCCGAUUCCGUGGCGGCGAGUGCCACGAAAAUGAACUAAGAGACAUUGUUUUCGUCAGCAGGCACAAUUUUCCAUAAUUGGCAAAAAAUAAGCACAUACAACAAUCACUCAAAUUAUCACUAAAACAUGCAGCAAAAUUGGAAGACACCAUAAGUUAAUUUCUGAUGUUCCCGUCCCGUGCAUGGGGAGCUUAUAAACUAGUUUCAUCUUCAUAAUAAGCCUAUAGAUGACAUGAGUCCAUGAAAGCAACCGUUCGCAACUAAAUUGGAGGAUACAUCCCAUUCCAAAAAGAUCCAGAUAAGGUUCACAAGAAUUGAUCCCGACACACCUUUACAUUGACAUGAUAACUCAUAUAAAGAAGAGUUCUUUCUUUAGCCAAAGGGAAACUAUCAAAAAGAUGCUAAGUAUCAACAAUUUGGCAUGGAGUGUCAGCAGGAUUGACUCGGGGUCCAUGCCAAGCAUAUCGAAGCUCUGGGGCUAAAUCGGGGUUGAUCAUUGUAACUCUUUUCAUUGUCUCUCCAACACAAAGACACUGACCAAUCUGUUAUAAACAAGCAGGUAGAGCACAAAGCGGUGGCGGUGGCGGUGGCGGUGGUGGCGACAGCGGCGGCCAAGUAGGACCCUCCACUUUUUGCUCAGUGUAUGAAAAGCGACACAUUAAAUAAAUACAAUCAGUAGUCUUGCUUACUGGGGCAUUCAGAUGCCCUGUGCCCCGCACGCCCAUAUACAAAGCACGAUCCUCCGAAGCUCCUGUCAUGACACAAUGCCAUAUCAGUGAGAUUUACAUGGCCAUGUCAAGUAUGUCAUUGGUGAUUGAAAAGAAAUAUAUUUGCUAAACGAUGGAGGAUAAUGUAUCAAAUCUCCAACACAAGUCUGCAAUGCUACAUCAAUUCCAUAUGUACCAAGAGCGGACAAAAUUGCUUAGGGAAUACUCGCAAGAUUUGCAUAGGCAGAAAGAUAUACCUGUCCCUCGAAGAUGGCCUACUGGAUCGCCUACCACCUAUAAGCCAAUCAUUAUCAUUGUUUCUUGGGGGCGACUCCAGCUAUUUUCAAUUCUGGAACCGCGGCCACCACGUCUUAAUAGACCAACAUCAUCAUCAGCAUCACGACCACUGCCCCAACUUUGGUACAAUCUCGAUCCUCUCCGGUCUCUAAGACUUGGCCGACGACUCCUGUCUCUGCUAGAAAAUCUACCAUAGAAAUCACUAGGGGGCCCAUCAUCUUGCAGAGCAGGUAACUGUCAAUAUAAAAGAAAAGUGAAUUAGCUCUGAAAAUGCAAUUAGCACCAAAACUGACGCUAUGGCAAUAUCUAAGCAUGGAAGCAACUGCAUUUAUGUGAACCAUCGUAAUCUCAACCCUAUGAGGUAUGUUGAGCCCUCACACAACCUUGGAAAUUCUUGUAAUAGUGUUCCCAGGUGGUGUUGGCUGACUCAGCAACUCCUUUGCAAUCUCCUCAGGAAGAUCAAAAACCGCCACUUGAACCUGUCAUUGGCACCAUAAACUAUAUGAAAAAAAUGUACAACCAAGAACGAAACUAUAGUGGGAAAAUUUAUAAAGGUAGUGCUCUGGUUUGGUAGAUACACUUUCAUCUGCAACCAAAUAUAUCUUCCCCAGUUCAUCUGCCGCCGGAGAAUAGACAUCAGAUAGAAAUCCAGUGACGGAUCGGGCAGAAAGGAAACCUCUAGAAUAAGAUGGAUCCCGAGUCAAUUGCAGUGUAACCCAACCCUACAACGCAUUUGUCCAGUAGAAUAUUAUAAGAUACAGCAGCAGGCACAAUUUUCCAUAAUCUCCAAUUACCAGUUAAUCAGCAGAAACAUACAAAAACCAUGUUCUGAAAGAUCAAUUGGUAUCAGUGGCUAUAUAAAUGCACUUUCUCAAAAUUUGACAGCACAUAGGAUCAACAAAUUAUUUUCCCAACAUAAAUGGUCCAUGCUCCAAUAAGCAACCACUUAUUUUCCUAAAUCUUGAAAUGAAUCUUUAAAAGUUAGGGUUAUAGAAGCACAUAUGACUAACAAAAUUGCCACAGAUGUCUCUAAUUUACCUGCUCAUGAUUUGUAAGAGACCGAGAUGUAGGAGGUUGCGAAAAACCACUCAAAUGAGCCAAAGCAUCAGCUAGAGCAUUUACACCUUGCUCUUCAAUUAGUUUUUGUGCUGUUGGAGUGAAAAACCCUACAGACUUAGGAUGAACCACUUUGAGGGUCGCAACAACUUGCUUAGCGGAUGACUCCAAAACUUCAUGCAUUGCUGGAGGGCUAAUAAACUCAAAUGUGCAACCUACACCUCACUCAAUGGAUCUGACAGUUCUCCUUUGACUACUUGUAUACAUCAAGAUAGCCAUUCCUUCUUUCCCGGCGCGUCCAGUACGAACAGACCGAUGGACAAAAGUCUCUGAAUCAUUUGGCAGUUCAUAGUGGAUGACCUGGCAUUAGGAGUUGCAUACUCUUGUUAAUCUUAUACACGUAGCUUUUUGAGAGGACUAACUAAUCGUGCAGGUAAACAAACAUAAAAAACUAAAUAACCUACGAGAUCAACAUUAGGGAUAUCCAACCCAUGAGAUGCAACAUCAGUAACAACAAGAACAGUGAACUUCCCCUGCCGGAAACCAUUAAGAGUUCUCUCCCUCUGAUUCUGAGAGAUAUCCCCAUGCAAUGCUUCAGAGGCAAUGAUACUCGUUAAUGCCAUUGACACCUCAUCUGCAUCUCUUUUAUUCUGUGUGAAAACAAUGGUCUUCCCACCUUUCGCAUACACGUAAGAUAGAUAUACAAAAAGGUCAUUUAUCUAGUAAAAGCACAAUCUAUUAAAGCCUACCAUAAAGCAUGUAGGCAAGAACAAAAUCAAAGCCUUCUUCCACUAAGCAGGAAGAAUCUUAAGAAACAGCAUGAUAGAAAAAUUCAGGACAUAUGCCUAAUGGGAGACAUCCAUAUGCAAAUGUUAGCGAAUCAAAUAAGCAUCUUGAUUGGGGAAAAAGAUAUCAAGUAUGAGGGAAGCAUCUCCUACCGUGAUGAGAUCACUUAGAAUGGUACACUUUGAAGUUGGAGUUGCUGAUAUGGCAUAAAUUUUAAUUCCCUCUGCGAGUUUUUCAUCUUGUUCUCCAACCUACAUCAGGAAAAUAAAGAGCAGGCAAACCACAUAAGCCAUCACAUGACAUUUUGAUGAGCCACACUCCUCCAUUUAUACGACUGUACUAUGCAAAAAUUCAGGCCUAUACCCAAUAUCGGAUCAUGCAAGAAGUUUGGGCAGACGGAGACAGAGAGAUUGUUAUUGAGAGAAGAACUUUACCAAGUCAAUCGUCAAAGGAUUGUUCAAGUGCUUUCUCGCCAGUUUCUUCACCCAACCAGGCAUUGUGGCAGAGAAAAGCAUGCUCUGUCGCUGUGAGGGAAGCUUUUCCAAGAUCACUUCCACAUCUUCCUCAAAACCAACGGCAAGCAUCUGAUCAACUUCAUCAAGUACCAAAAAUUCCACUUCUCCCAAUUUAAGGCUAUUACCGUUGAUCAAAUCAAUGAUUCAACCAGGAGUCCUGACUACAUCGAACCCCUGGGAAAGGACACUUUGUUGGGUAAUGUAAGAAACUCCACCAUAAACACACACGGUGUUUAAGUAAGGUGUAGAUUCCUUAAUUUCUUUCUCUACUUGUUUUGCUAAUUCCCUUGUUGGUGCUAAGGCCAAAACUCUAGGAAGUCGCCCACAUCUAAGAGACAUUUACUUUAUAAUCUGUCAUUAGAAAAAUGCUCAAACAUUGGAGGUCACCAAGAUAAUUAAAAUUAUUACUCAAAUACCUCGGACUUCUAUGUUCAUCACCAUCAGUAAGACGCUUCAGUAUGGAAUCCCGAAAGCUAAAGUCUUCCCCGUUCCAGUCUUCGCAUGAGCAAUUAAAUCACACCCUUCAAGCGCAGGGGUUAACACUGCUCUAACAAUCACAGAAUAGUACAAGGAACAUGAGUUUGCCAUUGAAAUCAUGAUGAAACUUUAGUAGAGUGAACAAUGAAGGGGGAAAAGUAAUGAGUGAUGGGUGAACUAUCCUAGUGCUGGCAAAAGUAAAGAAACCAAAUAUCGAGUCGAUUAAAAAAACGAAUUCUGCCUGUGUAAAGCCCUAGUCCCAACAACAUCUUAGUGUUGAACAGCUCAAUUUUCAGCAUAGGAUAGUCAUCUAAUGUAAGCUACGACAGAACAUCCCAGAAUACCUAUUAUGAUUGCCUGCACUUAACUCCAUCCGUGGUUCGCCUAGCACAUUAACAAAGGUCAAGGUUUUCUACUUAAUUUUCCAGCCAACUAAGUAUGCUCAAACAAAGAAAAACUCAGCCAGCAAUAAACAACAGCAAUUCAUACCAAAGCGAAAAAAUUGGAUAACACAGGGGAAGGAAACAAAGGAUAAAGCAUACUUGAAUGGGAAAGAGAUGGGUAAUGCCACGUUUCUCAAGAAAUUCCACGAGCCUCUGAGGCAAACCCAGCUUGGAGACAGCAAGCUCGUCCUCGCUCACACUCUCAGCCUCGCGGCCCUCAGACACGAAGCCGCCUUCAUCCUCACUCGCGUCAACCUCGCUCUCCGAGAACCCACCGGUCCCCAAAUUCUUGAAAGCCUCCUCGCUCAGCACCGAGUUCGGCGUGGCGAUGGCAGACGUCACGAAGCUGCUCAGGCUCCUCCUAAGGCCGCACCUUUUCACGCACCCACUUUCUAAAAGCCCAAAGGGUCUUCGGACAUGGCACUCGCUGGACGAACAGAGCAAGGAAUUGAAGUGGGGCUUCUCGGAAAACGACAGAGAAACCACGGCACCAGCCGAGCGAUUGCUUCUCGGUCGCGAGUCGGGGGACGGAGAGAGGCGAGCGAAAUCGGCCGUCGGGAGAGAGCGCGAUUUAGGAAGAAGAUCGCCGAGAGAAUGAAGCCCUGCUGAGAUGAGGCCGUCGAGUGGAGAGAGAAAGGCCGUCGUCGGGAGGGAGCGACGGUCGUCGGAGGAAUCGCUAGACCAGAAGGAGCGUCGGAGGAGGAAGAGAGAGCAAAGAGGAGAGAGAAGACAAAGGAGAGAGAAUUCCCUUUCCGGUUUUUUAAAUGCCCGUGCGUUGGUUUAAAUUAGAACGACGUGAGAGAGAAGAGGGAGCCGACGUGGACCUGCCAGCGGACAGGUGUCGACGCGUGAAUGGAUCAGAGCACGGAUGACGUGGUCCUUUGAGGGUACCUAAUAUUUUCUCUGUCAGAAGCACCAUCAAGCUAAGAGCAGCACUUUCUGUCUCGAGUGCCCCGCCGAAAUCAUCUUUUUACUUGGAAAAUACAUCCAAACAACUUUAAUAAUGUGAUGGGACAACACAAAUCCUGUCCGCAUCAACAAAGGUGAUUCACGUGGGGUUUGCAUUCCUUGUUCUUCCAUCGACUUUAAUAAUGUGAUGGGACAACACAAGUCUUUUCCAUUAUUAAAGCUUAAAGAAUCUGGACAAAAGGAUUGCUUUCUUCACGUGGGAUCGUACAUUUUGUCAGUAAAUAUAGAUUUUAUCUCCAUUGUAAAGAUUUUUCAUAUCUAGGUAAUAUUCUCGUCUAUUCCUCUUAAUUGUGGAAUAUCGGAUUUUGUUAAUUUGAAAACAAAGUCCAUAGAUUCAUAUUUCUUCAAGUUAACCCAAAAAAAGGGGCAACAUUUUUUAUUAAUAUCAUCAGUAAUUGACAAGUUCAGUCGACCUCAUGAAUGAAGGUUAGCACAUACUUAGGGUACCUUCUUUUAACUGAGGGGCUCCACAACUUUCAAUAAAUGUAAUUUAUUGUACCUUAGUCCUGUGAACUACUGUGCUAAGCUGUAAUUCGUGCUACUUGUCAAACGCACAAAAUUUGUAAGAGUCCAUCUUCCAAAUUUCAUGCCCACGCCGAAGACUCUACUCGCUCAAAAUGUUCGUACCUCUCUCAAACAUGUGGAUGAAAUUGUAGGAGUUGAGCCUAUAAUUGUCAGUCCUUAAAAAGUAGUAGAGACUGCUUUCCUGCUUCCCCUACAUGACCAUCAACACACCUGUUAAAACCUUUAAAGUUUGAGGGGAUGUACGAUAAAUCAAAAUUUUUAUUUUAGAAAUAAUUUUUUUUAUUUUAGAUCUAUUUUUGAAAUAUAAAUUCUUAUUUUAUUUUUUUAUUUUUAAUAUAAAUUUAUAUUCCAUAAAUAAAUUUGGAACAGAAAUCAAAAGCAAAAUUUUUUUACUUCUCUAUUUCUUGAACAGAAAUGAGAAAUAAAUUUUUUUUUCAUAGUUCGUCAAUUGGUCAUUCAUUCGUUGCCGUUGACCACUGUCUAUUGGUCGCCGCCCGCCCGCCAGCCCCCGCCGUCGGUCGCCAGUCACCGUCCGCUAGCCGCUGCCACCACCACCGUCUGUCACCACUAUCCGCCACCAUCCAAAGGAAUAAACUUUGUUUCGUUACCAAACAAAUUUCUAUUUUUAGAGUAGAAAUUUUGUGUCGUUAUCAAACAGUAAUUUUUGCUUAGAAACUAUUUUAGAAAUAUAAAUAUAAAAAUAUAUUUCUGUUCCAUAAACUAUUUCUGAAACAGAAUAAUUGUCAUGCACGCCUAAAGAGUCUGAAAUAAAUUGACAUCCCCAAUAGAUUAAUAUUCUGAAAGUCAAUCCUUAUGUGAUGUCCUGUGAUAUGUGAAUUUAUAAUUCAUAAUCCACUUCUCUCCAGUCGAACUGAUAGUCCCGCUCAAAACAUACGACUCCUCCCUUUGCCCCAGGGAACAUUCAUGUCGCUCUCCAAUCUCUCUACUUUCUUUAGCUAUGGACAAUCCACAUGCAAUGUGCCCCUCUUUUUUAUAGUCGUAACAUCUUAACGACUUUUUCAUUGCUUUAAACUUCAAUCUAGACUGGUGUUUAUAAUAAGAACCCAUCUUUUUAAGUUUUUGCCUUUGACCUGCAAGCCAUCAAUGCCACUUCUACGUUCGUUGCCCUACAACUUCUUCUAUCAUUCUUUUGGAAAAUUGUGCAAAAUUCACUUCCUCUCAUUAGAUAACCACCAAAUUACUCAUAAGAAUUGGAUAAAGAAUAAAGCAAUAUCAUAGUUUGCCAUUAGUUAGAUAUCUUCUCAUUCACAUUGCUCAGAAUAUUGAUGACUUUAUUUAACUCAUUUAGGUGAUCCUAGAUUAACAUUCUUGUAUCAUCUUGGAGUAAAUAACCGUUGAAUCAAGAAAAGUUUCUUCAAGAGAGAUUUUAAUAUGUACAACACUUCAAGUUUUGCACCAACUACAUCUACACUUGUCAAUUUUAUCUCUUCAACCAAAACAUUAUCCCAUAGAUUCAGUUGUGUUAUACACUAAGUAGCACGGACACGUGACACGAUACGACAUGACAUGCCGACACGUCAUUUUUAAAAAAUGGAGAAUUCUAAAAACGUAUGACAUGUUAUAUAUUAAAUGAAUAUUUUUAUUUUUAAUUAAUUUGAUUCAAAUUUAAAAAGAGCUUACAAUGAAUUUGCACUAAUAAUAUUAAUAAAUGUAUUCAUAGGAAAUUUGAAAGACAUAUUAAUAGUUAAUGCGUAUCCAUAUUUGAGAACAUAUUUCUAACUUUAGCGAAAAAUUAUAGAUGAAACUAAUGACUAAUAAAAAAUUAUAAUUAACUUAUUUAAAAAAAAUUAUGAUCUUCUAUAAUAAUUAAAAUUUAUCAUUAUUUAACUUUUAGUAUUUUAAUUGUUGAAAAUUAUUUUUAGCUAAUUUAUUUAUUUUUUUAACAAAUAUAACAUCACCGUCCAAAAAUUAUUUUCCUCCCUUUUUUUCCCAAACCCUUAUUCCCCAAAAUUUAUUUCUCUCCCUCAUUCCUCUCUACUCCGAAGGAGCACAUCGGAACGGCAGCCAGAUCUCUUUCCUUUCAUGUGCAAUUUUGUCAUUUUGCGACGGAUGGUGAAAGAGUGACGAUGGAAGACAAGUUGAGAGAGAGAGAGGCUUCAAUGCUAUUUCUUGAAUUCAAGAUAUGAUUCAAGGACGUAGGUGGACUCACUUUAGGGCGCGUUUGGUAACGAUUUUGUUCUCGGGAACUGAUUCUGACCAGAAAUGAUUAUUUCUGAUUCUGUUCCCGGGAACUGAUUCUGAGUAAAAAACCGCGUUUGGUAACAAAUAAAAUUUCUGAUUCUGGAAUAGAAGAAGAAUAGAAACGCGUUUGGUAACUAUAUAAAAUUUAUAUUCCAAUUUUUUUUUAAUUACCUUUUUAGAUUAAAAUAAAUUUGAUAUUGAAUUUUCAUAAAUCAUUCACUGAUUAAUUAUAUUUUUAUACUAAGUAAUAAAAAUAUUAACUAAUCAAUUUUUAUUAUAUAGUAAAUAAUAAACCAUAGUAUAAACUAUACUAAUAUCCCUACAAUAUGUAAUAAAUAAAAAUACUAAAUUAUAACAUAAAAUUAAAUAUGUAUUCUAUAUACAACAAAUAUAUAUUUCAUACUAGGAAGAAAUAAAAAUAAAAUAUAGAAAUAAAAAAAAAUUUGAUUCGGCACUUUUGAUUCUCGGACGGAGAAUCAUAUUUUUUCUGAUUCUGAAUUCUUGUCCAAAACUGAUUCUGGGAGUAAAUUUGUUCCCAGAAUCAGUUUUGGACAAAAAAUUUACCAAACGCGAUUCUGUUCCCAAAUUGAUUCUGGGAACAAAAAAUCAGAAUUAUGCGCUGUUUGGAUGGUUGCCGAACAGGGCCUUAGUGAGAGGAAUAAGAGAUUCUCUCUCAGAGCGCAUUGGGAACUUCCCGAUCUUGGCCUCCACGCUUGUUCGCAAUAAAUAGAAGACAGAGAGCUUUUCACUCCCGUCUCUUGCAGUGCACUGGGAUGGAGGACGGAGGGUGCGUUGAGAACAAGCUCCGCUUGUUUCUCCUCACCCCCACCUCACCUGUUGCGACGCCAUUAUAGCUCUCUCUCUCUCUCUCUCUCUCUCUCAAAUGGAGAGGUCAGCUCUGCUACUGAUUUUGUGUGCGUGGAUUGCUCCUCUGGUUCCGGGAGUAAUGCUGCAGGUUCAAGCCCAGCCAGGUCUCUCUCUCUCUCUCUCUCUCUCUCUCUCAAAACCUUAUAAGCUAACUGAGACACCAAUCAGUAAACCAUCUCCCGUCUUACCUCCUGGGAAAAUAACUAUAAUAUCAAGACUUUGUUUGAUUCAUAGGAAAAAAAUUUCCGAAAAACAUUUUUUGGAUUUUCGGGGUUCGGGGUUCAUUUCACAAAAAAUAAACUAGUUUUUUUUUAGCAAAAAAAAUAUAAACUAGUUAAGAAAAACGUUUUCCGCUAUUGAAAAAAAUAUUUUCAAAACUAGGGAAAAUGCUUUUCACUUUUCAGAAAGUAGAAAAUAUUUUUCUUAACUUCUUCCAUCUUAUUUUCUCCAAACACAUUUUCCUUUUAUUUCUUAUAUUUUAUUUAAAAAAAAUCGAAUUUUUAGUUUUUUUCUUUUUUUCUUCCCUUUUCUUUUUCGAUUGCCAGCCAUAGUGGCGGUUGGUGAUCGGCCAUCGGUGAGCUUCGGUCUUGCCUCAAGCUGGCGAGGUAGAUCCGACAAGCUAGGCUAGGCUUGGGCCUUGCCCAAGGUCGCCAAAGCCUCGCUAACCUUGCUAACCUCUAGUGGGGCUCGAGCCCCACCUAGCUCACCAGAUUUAGCUAGGCCCGAGCUCGUCAAACCUCGGGUGAGUUCGAGCCUCACCUAGUCCAACGAGGCACAAGCCGGUAAGAUUCCAACUUCGCCGGAAUCUACAGAGCUCCAGCUUCGUCAGUUGUCGUCGUAGUCGACGACAACCAAGGCCAAGGAAUAAGAAGAAAUAUAGAAAGAAAAGGAAAAAAGAAUAUGAAAGGAAAAAAAUUAAAAUUAAAAAAUCGAUAAUAAAAUUUAUUAAAAAUGAGUGUACGCAGGAAAAGAUUUUUCUUACUGAAUGAUAGAAAAUAUUUUCUAGUUCUUUUUCAAAUUUUAGCUGGAUAUCAGAAAAUAUGGUAAUUUUCCUAAAACUGGUUUCAUAAGUUUUUUUUUUCGAAAACACUAUUUUUCGUAAAACGAACGGAGCUUAAUUAUAACUUUGUUCACGUUGAUUUAGGUAAACAUAUACCAAAUUUAUGAACCCCUGUAACAGGUUUCAUGACCUUCAUAUGGUUGAGCCGUUAAGAGAUCUAGAAUAUAUCAUCUGCCGUGCAACUACAACAAAUGAAAGACACGACUCAACAUUCAAGAAAUAAUAGGUUUACAUGUAGGAAAAAUUGAGAAAUAAUAAAUUUCACGUAGAUCGCAUGUGAAAAUAAAUAAUACAAGUUUUUAUGACAUGAUUGAUUUUGUCUAUCGUAUUACUAAUUGGAUUAGCCAUCACCCAUCGAUCUAGUCCUUUCCAUAUUGGGAUAGUGUAUUUUGAAUCUUUCAUACGAGCUCGAAAGGCGGUAAUUUGUAACAUUUGGUACAGAAGAAUCAGUUUAAAAGAAUAACGACGGGAGGGCACUGCACCAACAAAUCAACAUAUGAACUUACAUCAAUUCCUUUCUUUCAUAUCUCUUUUCCUCUCUCCCUUCUCUUUCUUCGUUGAAGCUGGAGCCUGGUUGCGGCCUGUGAGCCUUAGCACAUCCUCAGCCUUAUCACCUCUCUCUCUCUCUGCGCGUAUGCUUAGAGACGGGUCAUGGCGGGGCCAGAUCUGACUCCAUAGAUGAAGAGAAAUAGAGAGAGACGUGUUUUAAAGUUAGGAUAUUUGAAUCUUGAUAAGUUUUUAAAGUAAUUUCAUAUGUUGAUAAUCAAGAAUAAUAACUUGAAUGGACGUCACCUGUCUCUCGGUUGCCGGGCAACAGCAAAACCUUUUUUUUUUCUUUUUCUUUUUUCCCAUUUUCCUCGAAAAUGGCAUAUGGAAAGAGAUAGAUAGAUGUUUUGAAUCUUGAUAAGUUUUUAAAUUAAUUUCAUACGUUUAUAAUCAAGAAUGAUACCAUGAAAGAACGUCACCUGUCUCUCCACUUCCCGGGAGCAACGAAACCUUUUUUUCAUAUUCCUUGAAACGGUGAUUACAAAGGAAAUGUAUUGCCUCAAUCUGCUGGAACCAUCAUUGCAUUCGCCAUGCGGGGGAAUGUUCAAUCAUUCCUUUUCAAUCUCACAAAUCAAGAGAAAAAUACAUUUACCCCAUUUAAUAUGACAUUAUACUCUAAAGAACAAUAAUAAUAGAUAUCAACAAAAUAACUUAAAUUAUUUAUAGUUAUUAUGAUGCAUAUUAAUUCAUUCCAAUUUGAGAAUGAUGUCUGUAAACUUUUAUAAUUAUUAUAUCCACAAUGCUUUCCCCAGUACCCAACAAAUAACUUUAUUAAUCACAUUUCGUUUUUUAAAAGCAACUGGUGAGAUUAGAGUCCUACUUGCAACCAAUUCUAUCUAUAUCUCCAAAACUUUUUUCUUCCGUUCAUCAUAUCAAUCACAACAAACAACACAUUAUAUUACUUGUGAUGUGGCUCUUCAUUUGAAAGAAAUGCUGGAUUGCUCUUUUUAUAUCCCAGAAUGAAGCGAGCCUAAAAUUUGACUAAUAAAAAAAAUGGUCUUUUCUGUUCCGGAAAAUAAAUAAAUAUCUUGUGAACUGGUCUCAUAAACCAUUUCUUGGAAAAUGGAACAUUUAACACUAUUUCUUGGAAAGCUCAUAAUUCCCAACAACUAUUUAUUCCAUUCUUGGUUUCUGUGUGUCAAGGUUUCAUAAGUAUCGACUGUGGAGUAUCAAAUGCAUACAAAAACACCAGGCUCAACAACAUGUCCUUUGACUGGGACAAUGGAUACAUAGACUCUGGAGAGAAUAAGCAGAUAUCCACAGAGUAUAUCUAUGCUCAAUAUGGUCCUAUGUAUAAGAAUUUAAGGAGUUUUCCUAAUGGAACAAGGAACUGCUACACCAUAAGGCCGGACAAAGGCAAGAACAACACAUACUUGAUUAGGACAUCAUUUUUGUAUGGGAACUAUGAUGAGAAGAACCUACACCCUAUAUUCGACCUCUACAUUGACGUUAAUUAUUGGGCCACAGUUGAUGCUUCCGAGUAUGUGGAAGAAGAAAUUCUCUAUGUGCCCCAAAGGGAUGAAAUACAAGUGUGCCUCAUAAAUAUUGGUAAAGGAGUGCCCUUCAUUUCGGCUUUGUUACUUAGAACUUUGAACAAUUCUAUUUAUCAAAUUCAAUCAGGAUUUUUAAGGCUUAAUGUCAGAUAUGACAUCGGAAGGUUAAGCUCGACCAUCAGGUGAGUUUUUUUUUUUCCUUUCUUUUUUUGUUGAAAAGAAUGAAUAAAUGUUAGCCCAUGUCACCUUUCUUGCUACAAGGAAUUGUGUGUGGAGAUAAGCGAGAAAACUUAUAUAGUGAAAAGAAAAAAACGUAAAGGGUUAAAGGUUUGGUCGAGAAAUAUUUGAAUUUAACUUUAAAAAGAGUAAAGAGAUUUAACAUACAUUACUGUUGUUAUGCAUAUUAGUUCUGAAUUAUAAUUUUGAACACGGAAUUUUUUAGUAAAAGCUAGAGAUCAAAGAUAUUUUCGGAUUUACGUCCUUUAGAUGCAUUGGAGAUCAAUGAAAGGCCUUCAUCUUUUGUCAUAUUCUUUAAGGGUGCUCAAGUCUUAUAAAAAAUCUCUGUUCAUACGUAUAUACUAUUGACAAAAAAGGGCAAUUUAUUUUGCGGGUGCUCUAUUUUAAACUAUAUACUUAAAAUUAAAUGAGUUUCUCUACCCAGAGAGGCCGAUGAGUCAGAAUAGUGGGUGUUUUUAAGGAGCCUUAUAGAACAGAUUCCAAACCUUUAAUGACCCUCGAAUCAAGAAAAUAGUAAAUCUCGCUUAUUUUAAAGUCCUCAUAUUUUUGUGUUUUACAAAACGAAUUAAAAGGCAGGAAGUUAUGACCAAUUACUACCGGAGGAUUUGUCGGCCGCGACCUAGAACUCCUUGCGUGUCAGUUUUCUGGGGGUGAAUCAUUAAGUACUAGGGACUUCUUUUUUAGGUAGUAAAAAGUUACGGGGAGUGAUAAUUGAGCGAAUAAUCAAAGAUCAGAGGCCAAGUUAGAGAAAAUUCCUCGGAAUUGGAUUAAUGGCAAGUUGCAUUUGAACAAGAAAUAAGAGCAUCGCAACAUAAGUAGUACAAGUACAAUAGGUGUUGUAGUGGAGACGCUUCAUUGGCAUAAGAACAUGCUACCUGGGACACCGCAUUGGCAUCACAUGAAUUGUUUGUCAAAAUGUUCCACCCAGGUACCCGUACGAUGUCUAUGAUCGCAUCUGGAAAAAUUGGACAUUGCCUGACUUGGAUACAUUCGAACCUGGGACGUCCACCUCUGAUAAAUCCAACAACAGUGAUGCCUAUAAGGUUCCAUGGGAAGUCCUCAGGACAGCUCAAAUGGCGAGUGACAUUGACCCUAGCUUCGUCUUUAAUUGUACGCCGUACAACUCAACGUCUAAAUGUAUUGGGUACUUCCAUUUUGCCGAAACCCAAAGCUUGNNNNNNNNNNNNNNNNNNNNNNNNNNNNNNNNNNNNNNNNNNNNNNNNNNNNNNNNNNNNNNNNNNNNNNNNNNNNNNNNNNNNNNNNNNNNNNNNNNNNUUUUUUCAAUGCAACGAUGAGCCGGACUAGACGUCCACUGCCACCGAUUAUCAAUGCCUUAGAGACAUUUUCUAUUCAAGAACUUCCGAAUUUACCAACAGCCCAAGAUGAUGGUAAUCUUUCAUUCUCCUACAUGCUCUUGUGCUAGUGCUACCAUAACUAAUGUGAAGUACAGCCAUGGCAUGAACAGCAUAUAAACAGUUUUGGCAAACUUGGCUUUGGUAUUAGAUUGCUGAAUUGAAAGGAAGAGAAACCAAGUUUUGAAAGUAAUCAUUUGUUUAAUAGGUAUAUAUUCCAUUAACACUCUAGAGAUUAGAAGAGUACACUCGCUUUUCUAGGGCACUCUAAAAUUUCUAGGACUCCUUAUACGCAAACUCUAGGAAGCUAAUUUCUAAUACUCACUUACCCCGGUUGCUCCAUUGAAAGGGGGCUUGCGAAUUUAUAGGAGAUGGAUGAGGAUUUUUAGACAUAAUGUUAUAAAACUGUGGUUUCGUGGUAAGGAUAAGCUAAGUUUUUUGCGGUCAUUUAAAGUGCAGGGUAGAAAUCUGUGGUGAAAAAUUAGUUAUAGAUAGUUGUGGACCAAAAAAAUCUGGAGGAGUUAGUGAAAGAGUUUUCUUCGAGUGAGAUUUGAAUUAUUAAAGUCGUUGAUUAACUGGCUAUUCCUUGCUCAGCAUAGAGUUUUACAGUAAAAUCCCUUCAAAUUGCACAUGGAAGUUGUUUUCACCAAUUCCAUAAUGUUACCAUUCUUUAGCGAGGGAAAGAUGAAAUUCAAUGCAUGACUUUGAUCUGCUCGAAAUCCCCAUCUUUCUAUCAUCCUUCUCUUAAAGCAAACCGAUCUUGUUGCGUUCUAAACUACAGCCAAAGUUCUCAAGGACACCAAGGAAAAGUAUGACAUAAAAAAAGAUAGCUGGCAAGGUGAUCCAUGUGUACCAAGCAAAUUUGCGUGGUAUGGUGUGACUUGUAGCAAAGGAGAUCAUCCGAGGGUUAUUUCAUUGUAAGUCUCCUUGCACUAUUUCUUGUAGGACAAGGCUUUCCUCAUCUUCUUGAGAAAUUGGAAGUUCGUUCUUCUAUAUGACUACAUUAAUCUAUGAAAACUCCUUCAUCAGUUGUGCGCUUCUCAAUUUUACUAUUAGGUAACAUUGUGUUCUCUACAGUUGAGUGCACAAACAUUUAUGUAUCAAACCAACAUUACCGCCUUUGUGAACACGGCAAUGACACAGCUUCCUCUCAUGUGAUUGAUUAUGGGCAGGAACUUGAGCUCUAGCAAUUUGAGGGGCGACAUACAUUCUUCACUAUCACAUCUAUCGGAAUUGAAGGCCUUGUAAGUAUUAGCCCAGUAAGGCCCUUAUUGAGGUGAUGGUGUUUUAGGAUUGAGUGACUUUAGACCUUCGUUGUAUCAAUCUUGCGUUUAAAUGUCUGCCUAGGACAAAAUUGAAAAAAAGGCAUCACAAUGGUGAUUUAAGUAGUGUUUUCAACUUUAAAUUUCCAUGGUGGUCAACUUUUGUUGGGAGGAUUUAGGUAGUGUCUUAAUGGCGCAAAUUUUAUAAUUUAUGUUUGAAUGUGUUGGGUCAUCCUAGUUUUUGCUAGAGACCUUAUUCUGAAGAAAAAGUUAUUUCGAAGGCUUCAAGAGAGAGCCUUUGCAGGAGGAAGUUCAUGUGGAGCAUCGAUUUUAAAGCAGUGGAAUGAUAUUUUUGGCCUCUUUGGCUCAAAACAUUUGUUGUUUUUCUUAUUCAUAAUUUCAAAAUUUCAGAUGAGAUAUAUUGAAUUGUUAGCUACCCAGACUUGCUUAUGUUUCAGAGAUCUAUCCAACAAUGAACUUAUAGGAGCCAUACCGGAAACAUUGGCAAAUUUGCCGAAGUUGAGAAUUUUGUAAGUAAAUGUGCCUUAGUGGCGCCCUGAAGAAUUGACAGAGCAUGAGUCUUUAUACAUGGUUAUGCUUUGCAGGAAUCUAAGCGGAAACAAGCUAAAUGGUUCAAUUCCUAAGGCUCUUAAAAGGAGGGUUAAGGACAAAAAAUUGGUCUUGAGGUCUCUCUCUCUCUCUCUCUCUCUCUCUCACACUCACAUAGAGCAUUCUAACAUGUUUUAUUGUGAUUCAAAGCAAGUAAGAAGGCCGCUUGUGAUCAACAUGUAGGCAAAGCAGUUCGAUAAACGUAACUCUACCUACUUACCUUUUGUCGCAGUACUAAAGACAAUCCCGAUCUUUGCCGGGCAAGUCCUUGCACAAAGAAUAAAAGCUCCAUCUUGGUCCCAGUUAUUGCAUCGGUUUCAGGCGUAGUCGUCAUUAUCUGUUUGGUCACUAUUUGGUUGAUUAGAAGGAAACAGAUAAGAGGUAACUUAUUUUUCGACUUCUCGUCCACAGCAUAGUUACAUGAAAAUACAAUUGUCUCUGAUUAGUCUAAUGCUCCCCAAGGAUUGAUGACCAUCAAAGUGAUUGUAUCUUAGCAUAUGGAGAGCUAGGUGCCAAAAUUUCAAUCCUUGCCUGGAUUUUCACUCCCCAUAGGUUGACUUUUGUAGUACCAAUUGGAGUUAUCUUAGGGAGAUUUUCCUUUGAAGUCUACUUGGAAAUCUUCAAAAGGUUGAGUCUAUUACUCAUUGGUAAUAUAUUGGUUAUUUAUUGAAGGAAUGGUGAGAUUAAGAUCUUUCAAUUAUGGUGAGAUCACAAGGAUCACUGGAAACUUUGGAACAGAGAUUGGUGUAGGAGGAUUUGGGAAAGUAUAUCUUGGCACUCUAGAGAAUGGAACCAAAGUUGCAGUGAAGAUGCUCUCGGAAAAAUCAUGGCAAGGGGACAGGGAAUUUCAAGCUGAGGUACAAUGCAAUAAGAUGCUUAUUUAUAGACUUGCUUCCAAACAAUUGUCAAUAAAAAUUGUGGUAAAGGACACUUACGACAUUGCAGGAGAAACAAUUAAUGAUCGUUCACCAUGCAAACUUGGUUUCUCUACAUGGAUAUUGUGAUCACUCUAAAAACAAGGCAUUAGUUUAUGAAUACAUGGCUAAUGGAAACUUGCAACAGCACUUACACGGUACUUUAUCAUGUUUUCUUGUAUAAUUUUUUUCUCUAGAAUACACCUGCGAAUAUCUGUUUCUUUCUCAUAUAUAAUAAGAAAAUACGCUAAUUUGAUAGGGGACAAGCCAGUCUUAACUUGGAAACAGAGACUUCGCAUCAUUGUAGAUGUAGCAAAAGGUACUUCAAGGAUAUGCCCCAGUGUUGUUUGUUCCCCUCCUUUUUUGAAUGAUUAAAUGGAUCUUUUGCAAGAAUUGCAGGUUUGGAGUAUCUCCAUAAUGGAUGCAACCCGCCCAUUAUCCAUAGAGACUUAAAAGCGACAAACAUCCUGUUGAAUGAAAAAAUGCAAGCGAAAAUAUCUGACUUUGGUCUCUCAAGAACAUUUACAGCUGAGACUGAUGCUCAUGUGUCAACUCGUGCUGGCACUCCUGGCUACCUCGACCUUGAUACUCAUGUAUCAACUCGUGAUGUUGGCACUCUUGGCUACCUCGACCUUGAUACUCAUGUAUCAACUCGUGAUGUUGGCACUCUUGGCUACCUCGACCCUGAGUAAGGGCUUAAACUUAAUCUCAUUAAUAUGCUAUAUGGUCUUUGUAUGGAUAGAAAAUCUAGCUCUCCCUGAGAUUGCAUUGAAGACUCAUGUACUUGUAAGUAGCGUAUACAACUUUACUGAAGAAAAGUUCAGCGUUGACAAAUGACUCUAGAGUCCAAAAAGCAAUAUAUUAAGACCUGGCAAAUUUAUCCUCGGUUGUGUUCUCAUAUGUCCUGCAGGUACCAUUCGACUAUAAGCUUAAACAAGAAAAGUGAUGUUUUCACUCUUGGAAUCAUACUCCUUGAGCUAAUCACGGGACAUCCGGCAAUGAUGACGAAGCAAGAAGGAAAUGUGCAUAUACUUGAUUGGGCGAAUUCCCUUAUUGAAAGUAAAAAUUUGCAGAAGAUCAUGGAUCCAAAGUUAAAAGGAGAAUACGACAGCACAUCGGCUUGGAAAGCGAUACGGGUCGCAGAGUCUUGUACAAAACCAACUGGAGAUCAAAGGCCUGACAUAGAUCAUGUAUUGGCAGAAUUGAAGGAUUGUUUGAAAACAGCACCGGAACCCGAAAAAAGUCCAGAAGAUGGGAAGCAAAAUGAGAAAGUCUAGUUCUUUCGAAAGGACCUCCUCAAGAGUUCAUUCAACCAGUAAUUCCCUUGGAAGAGCGUUGGGUAUUUAAUGCAUGUGAAUUUGUUGCCAAAUUUCUGCAGCCGUCAAAAUUGAACUCAAGCGUGGUUCACAUUUCAAAUUUAUAUUUAUGUGUCAAUUUGGAUAUUCAGAAGUUGUUCUUGUCUCUAGUGAUUCUAUUAUUCUAUGAAUAGGUCCUUGAUAGAAACAUGAGUAUUCGCAGCUUUUGUCAUUCAUGGGAGGAACUAUGUACUUGAGGAGACUCAUCUAUGUUGGAUUUGGAUUUGGUCACUCUAAACUAGAGUCUCGCUUGUUGUUAUUGCUUUAUGGUGGAUAUAUUCUCAGGGAUCAUUUCACGAGAUGAGAGGUGAAACAACUCAACACGGACUUUCUCCCUCUCCCCACCCCAAAUACACUAUUAUUUAGAAGGCCAUAAGAGUGUUGCGACCUCUUCGAACCCUUUCGCAAGCACUUGGUUAAUGGCCUGCUAAGUCUAAGCUUAGCCCAUGCUCUCUCAAGCCCAUUGAUUCACAACUUAUAGUCCAAAUAUUUUAAUACGAAUAUUUUAACCUGUAAUUUAAUUUCAUUUAGGAGUCGUCAUUAAUUAAUUUGUGAUGGGUCAAUUAAAAAUUCAAGUAGAAUAGCGGAAGAAAUAUUGUACUUGUGCACAACUAAUUACGCUUGUGAAUCAACUGAUACCAUUUUGGUAUCUAAUCUCUUUUGGGAUUCCAAUCCAUGCUUCAUAAUGGCAUAAUUGAGAUAAAGGAAGUUUGCAAACAGCAAUCCAUUUGCUUUCGCAUACUUAAGCACAAUUUCUCUUCUUUUUUUUGGUUUACUUUUGAGGAUUUUCGCAUAUCUUAAGAAAAAACCACUCAUAGAUUAUUUUUAGGCUUUUUCUGAUUUUUUUUUUGGAAAAAUAAAAAUUUUCUGGGAUUUUUCUGAUUCUUUUAUUUUUAUAAAUUUUUUUAAAAUAAUAAUAUAAUAUAAAUUGACUCGGGUCGAUGAGACCCGCGUGCCGGCCUGAUUCGGCCCGACCCGGGUUCGCGAAUCCGAAUGGCCAGAGAGAAGAGGGCCGCCUUUUGUCCUCUCUCAUUUUCAUUUUAUUCCCUUUUUUAUUUUUUAUUUAUUUAUUUUUAUCUCUCUCUCCCUGCACGAACCAAUCCACGGCAGCCCGGUCUGGCAAGCCCGAAACAGGGCGUGGGCACAAAAACAGGGGCGGUUGGCCCAGAGUCCCUACCCGGCUUGCGGCGUCGGACGGCGGACGAGCUCGAAGACCGGACUACGUCCAGCCGCCUCGCGCGCCUCUGAGCCGAGAUCCUUGGGCAACCGACCUCGAGUCCUGGCAAUUAAAGAACGACGGGAGACGAAGCACCACCCUCCGUAGGUUGAUUCGGAAAGGGGGAGGGCGAACGCCGGUCAGCCCCUGGCCGUACUAGUCGCCGGAGGACGCCCAACUUCUCCUCGGCUUUCUCUCGCCGCUCACCCCUUCGAUCUCCUCCGUCUCCCCCCUCCCAUUCUCUCUCGCCGAAAGCUCCUAUUUAUAGGCCGAGAAGGCUUCGGCCGCAAUGUGCAGCCAAAGAAAAAGGGCAUCUCUGUUGCCCCAAUCAUUGCAUCAGUUGCGGCCGUUCUGGUCUUGAUUUCAUUGGGAGCUCUUGAAGUAUUGUGGAUAAUCAAAAGAAGACAAAUCCAAGGUGACUUUCUUGCGUAUUGCAUGUGCAAGAAAAAUCGAAAGUUUUAAAUGGGAUUUUAUCAGUCCAGGUCAUGUUUUGAACCCCAUAUAGUUUUCAAGAACAUAUAAAAAAAAAUUCUCAUGAAGUGGUCCAAAAAAUUGAAUUUUGCAAAUCCUUAGAGUUUGAAUUUAUUUCCACACUAAUACCAGAACCUCCGAAACUCACUUUCCAGCAAUUUUUAUCGUAAUCAUGGACCAAUUUAGCAUUCGAAUCAGUGGAUACAUUUUUAGACAUGUAAAAAUUAAUUUAAUUUCGAAAAUUUUCCAUAUACACUACUAUAUUUGUUUAAAAAUACUUUAAAAUUCCGAAAUUUGCCCCAAUAUUAUAAUACGAAAAAGAACGAUGGGAGACGAAGCACCGCCCACCGUAGGUUGGUUCGGAAAGGGGGGAGGGCGAACGCCGGUGAGCCCCUAGCCGUAUUCGUCGCCGGAGGACGCUCGCUCACUCUCAAUUUCUCACUUGGCUUUCUCUCACCGCUCACACCACCCACCCCCACAAAAAAAAUAUUCUCUCUCACCGAAGACCGGUCGGGGGAGGCGCUUUGGCCACUAAUCCUUGGAGCGCCGACCGGCGUCACAUCACCCGUCGCCUCCAUCGCCGCCUGCUCCUGCUCUGCUCUGCUGACGCAGCGUACCCGGUGGCUGAAGGAAGGAGAGGAGAGGAGAGGGCAGAGAAGGCCAGGCCGGGCCGGGGUAGAUGGGCGAGAUUGGGCCUCAGCCCGAAUGGGGAAAGGAGGGGAAAGGGGGCUGGGGCGAAGGCCCAGCCCUUCAGCCCUCGCAGGCUCUCUCUCUUUUAAAAAAAUAAUAAUAAUGUUUUAAAAAAAUAGUUUUAUCUAUCCAAAAUGCAGUAAAAAUAAUGGAAAUUAAAAUUAAAAUAAAAUUUAGUUGAUGAAAGUAAUAUUAGUGCCCAUAUGAUGUGAAGAUCCUUUUUCGUUAGGGUCGAAUUAAUCCCUCAUUUUUUUAAUGAAAUUUAAUCAUAAACUUAGCCAAAAUUUAUGUGUCAAUAUAUAGAAGUCAAUGAUGAUAGAAAAAAAAGCCACAACAAACUCUAAACUAUGUCCAUCAUGACAGAUUUAUUUUAAACUUUUUUUUUGUGAUAUACUCACUGUGACACAUUUAUUCUAAAAAAUUUUGCGUGACAAAAAAAACCCUAAAUUUAUACUUAUGUAACACAUUUACAGAGUUUUCAUUAUGUUAAUUGAUGGAACCUUAACAAACUGUAAAUGUGUCAUACAGGUAUAAGUUUAUGAUUUUUCAUGUCACAAAAAAAAAUUAAGGUAAAUAUGUCACAAUGGCAUAAUUUGGGAUUUUUGUGUGGCUUUUGUCCAUGAUAAUAAUGGGAAUUACAUCAACUUUUUUCACCUUUUCUCUCUCGCGCAGAGAGCUUUUCUCUCUACCCAGGGUAGAGCUUUCCCCUUUUUUCCCCCUCAAAUGGCCGAUUGCACUGUUGGAACCCUAAAACCCCCAUGAUGCUGGAUUUGCUGCUCCUCCCCGAUGGAUAUGCGGGCACUCCAGACCUGGUAUACAAACCCUAACCCCAAACCUUCUUUCCUCCCAUCAAUGACACCAUGAACCCACUCACGAACAACCACCACAUUACCUUCUCCCCUGUCCACGGUACCGUAAACCCUAAGUCCCUCCCAAGUAGAUCGCACAGUAAUCCCAAGCCAACCUACUACACAUUCACAGAGCCCCCUUCAAUCUAACCCCAAAUCUUCACCCAUUUACCCCAAAACAUACACGGAAUCAGCAAAUCCGAAAACAAUAGGAAGCAAAGUGCAACGACCCAGUCUUCAACAUAUACAAUCCAGUGAAGGACAACGACCCAAACUCAACUCAGCGCAGGCAAAGAGAAUAGGCGACAUCCUGCAAAUUGGAGCAAUGGAAGGUGAGAACGAAAAUGACCUAAGACUAUCAGCAUUAUGUAAGAGCUUAGGACACCUCUGGGCAGAAAGUGAUGUGGUCGAAGUCUCAACUGAAAUCCCUCCAAAUAAAAUGCAAGAAUGUAAUCUUACUCUAUUUGGGAAGUUGUUCUCCAAGCCAAAUGUAAACUUCCAAGCUUUUACUACUGUAAUGAAGAAGGCAUGGAAAACUGAGUCUGUUGUUUGCCUGCAAAAAGAGCCAGGAUUAUUUUCCUUUGUGUUUCAAUCUGAAGAAGAAAAGGAGAGAGUUAAGAAAACAGGACCAUGGUCCUUUGCAAGCAAUUUGUUAGUGCUGAAACAAUGUGACCCAGAGGUUCCAGAACACUGUUAUGACUAUACUCGUUGUGCCUUCUGGAUUCAAAUGAGAGGGAUCCCCCCAGGAUGGUUUAGAGAGGAAGUGGUGGCCGGAUUGGCUAAAAGAGUGGGCCGAGUUGUCGAGAUACAAAUGGAGACUAGUGGAAGUGGCCCACAAAAGGCAGGAAAGGUGAGAGUAGAAAUGGAGUUGAAUUCACCUUUAAAAUCGGGAGCAAUAUUGGAUAUAGGGAAGAAGAAGCUAUGGGUGGAGUUUAAGUACGAACGACUGCCACAUUACUGUUACACAUGCGGGAGAAUUGGGCAUUAUGCCACUGAUUGUGAGGAAAUUCCCUAUGAGCAAACCAAAUGGGCAGAAAAUAAGACAGGGAAGUACGGACCUUGGUUAAAGGCGGAAGUUUGUGAUCACAGCCCCCAUUGGAAAGCAUUUUAUGGCCAGCUUGAAAAAAAUUCAGAUCUGGAAGAAAUAAUUCCUGAAACGCCUGUAGCAGAAAAUAGUAUGGGAGAAGAGGUUAGAAAAGAAGAGGAGACGCGAGCUUCCAUAGUACGCGGAAAGAAAAGGGCAGAAUGUUAUCCGGAUAACAACAAAAACGAAGGCUCGGCAACAGACAUCAGUGAGAAAGACAAAGGGAAGCAGAUUAUGUGCAUUGAUUUCCCUAAAGAGAACUUUCAGGGGGAGGUAAGAAACAGCAAGAAAGGCUUGAAGACUCAGAAAGCAAAAAAACAGAAAAAAGAAGUAGAGAACACCAUUCUGCUUAUGGAUGAAACAGAGCUUCUGGAUACCCCUGUUCAGAUAGUCAAGGAGGGGAACGAUUGGGCUUUGGUGGCUAGCCCUAAUAAGCCACCAAAGACGUCAUGAAAAUCAUAAGCUGGAACUGUCAGGGGCUAGGCAAUCCCCUGACGUUCCAAGAGCUGAGAGCUCUAGUUGCUCUCGAAAGGCCUACCAUGGUCUUCUUAAUGGAGACCAAGAACAAGGAGUCGAAGGUUGAGGGCGUUAUCAAACGCCUAAAAUUCCCAAAUAAAUUCCUCGAGAACCCGGAAGGAAUUGCAGGAGGACUAGCACUUAUGUGGAGUGCAGAGGUGGAUGUAAGAGUAAUUAACAGCACUAAAGCCUUCAUCGACGUGGAAUGCCAGGAUCCGAUAUGCGGUAGCCACAUGCGAAUCACCUUCCUAUAUGCACCUACAAAUUAUGGGGAGAGACUACUUUUAUGGCAGAAAUUAAGAGAGAUACGGUCACAGAACCUACUUCCAUGGAUAUGUAUGGGGGAUUUUAAUGAAAUAUUAUACGCUUGGGAGAAGAUGGGAAAAAAGGAGGCUGACCACUAUAGAAUAGCAGCUUUUCGUGAGCUUUUGAACGAUUGUUCCCUAAUGGAUGUUGAUAGCAAAGGGUGUGCCUACACUUGGGCCAACAACAGAGCAGGAGCGGACUUGGUAAAAAAAAGAUUAGAUCGAGUAAUAUGUACCAUGGAAUGGCGGGUAACCUUCCCAAAUGCUGAAGUACAGGCGUUACCAGCUGUUGGUUCUGACCACAGCCCUCUUCUUCUUGCACUCCACCCUGAAAGCAAGAAAAGAAAAAAACAAUUCAGGUUCGAAGCUUUUUGGCUGGAAGAAACAGAAUGCAGGGAGAUAAUCAAACGAACAUGGACUGAAAACUCCUCAACAGAAAGCAGCUUUUUAGACAAAGUUCAAGAAGUGUCAAAGGAACUUGCAAAAUGGAGCCAAGAUAAGUUUCCUAAUGCUGCCCGUCGGAUAAGAGAACUGAAACAGACUUUAACAAAGUCAACAAAUAGACCUCCAGAAAGAUGUAGCAAGGAGGAAUCUCAGAAGGUUAAGGGCCAAAUAGAAAAGCUAUGGAGACAGGAAGAAAAAUACUGGGGGCUAAGGGCGCGCAUAAAUUGGCUCAAGUGGGGAGAUCAAAAUACAAAGUACUUCCACGCUACAACGGUACAAAGAAGGCAGCGAAACAGAAUUGUAAUGCUGAAAAUAAAUGAAGAAACGUGGUGCAGGGAGCCGAGCGUACUAAAGCAACAUAUCCAGGGCUUUUAUCAAACACUAUAUGAACUGUGGGUCCGAGGAACAUCCAGCCAGUCCUAAAUCAGUGCCCUAGUCCAGUAAAUGAGAUAAUUAAUGCUCACCUCCUGGAAAACGUGAGAAUGGAAGAAGUCGAAGAAGCGGUUUUCCAACUAGGAUCAACUAAAGCUCCGGGUCCAGAUGGUCUAAACGGGCAAUUUUAUCAGCACUUUUGGGAGGAAGUAAAGCAUGAAGCUAUCCAGCUAGUCCAAACUUUCUUUGAGACAGGUAUCAUCGAUCCCACCCUCAAUCAAACACAUAUCUCCCUAAUACCGAAGGUCAAAAAUCCAGAAAGCAUAACCCAAUUCAGACCUAUAAGCCUAUGUAAUUUCAGCUACAAAAUUAUUGCAAAAGUGAUGGCAAACAGAUUGAAGAGAUGGCUCCCAGAAAUUAUCACAUCCGAGCAGAGUGCAUUCGUGCAAGGUCGGCAAAUCCAAGACAAUAUAUUAAUAGUGCAGGAAGUUAUACACCAGCUCCAGAUCAAGAAGAGAAAAAAGAAGUUCCAAGCCAUUUUGAAACUUGAUAUGCAAAAAGCGUAUGAUAGGAUAGAGUGGGACUUUUUGGAGGCAUGCUUGCUGAAAAUGGGCUUUAAUACAAGAUGGGUUGGGCUGAUAAUGCAAUGCGUCACAACAACCAUUCUUAGUGUGAAAGUAAACGGGGAGCCAAUGCAAUUUUUCAGACCAUCAAGGGGACUAAGGCAAGGUGACCCUCUCUCACCUUAUCUUUUUAUCCUGGUAUCGAAUGUAUUAUCGUGGUUAAUGCAUAAGGCUAUGGCAGAUGGAAGCCUUACAGGAAUAACCUUGAAUAGACAUUGCCCUACCCUAUCACACCUACUUUUUGCCGAUGACGCUAUCUUCUUCCUUGAUGGGACUAUUUCAGAAUGCCAAAACUUAGCAGCUGUCCUAAACCAGUAUUGUUUUGCCACGGGUCAAGCAAUCAACCUCAACAAAUCAGGGGUUUGUUUUAGCAGGGGCUGUCCUCCAACUCUAAAAAGAAAUCUAGCGCAAGAACUUCGAGUGCCGAUCAUCGACAAAACAGGAAAGUAUCUCGGAGUCCCGACGGACUGGGGAAAAUCAAAAAAAGAAAUGUUCGCUUGGAUCCUAGCUCGGGUACACAUGAAGUUGGAAGGCUGGAAAGAGAAGAUCCUGUCCAAAGCAGGAAAAGAAACGCUGAUAAAAAGUGUUGUGCAAGCCCUGCCUCAAUAUGCAAUGUCGAUCUUUAAAAUACCCAUCUCAAUAUGCAAGGCAAUCGAACGAAGAAUUGCAUCUUUUUGGUGGAAACAAAACGACAAAAGGAGUGGUUUGCACUGGAAGAAAUGGGAAGUUUUGAAACUGAGGAAAGAUGAAGGAGGGCUUGGAUUCAGAGACUUGACAAAUUUUAACAAGGCAAUGUUGGGCAAACAAGCCUGGAGAUUAUCUCAAUCCCCCUCAGCCUUAUGGAGCAGAAUACUAAAAGGAGUCUACUUCCCCAACGGAGAUAUAUGGAAGGCAGGGAGAGGGCAGCGUCCCUCAUGGGGUUGGCAAAGCAUUCUUGUGGGGAGAGAAGCUAUUGAAAAGGAAGUGGAUUGGAAGGUAGGAAACGGCAAGCAAAUCAGAAUUCGAGAGGAUAAAUGGCUAGCAUAUGGAGUUAUAGGUGGGCCGGCAAACGAAAAUGACCCUAUAAUGGUGGCAGAACUUAUCAGCGAAGAAAGCAGAGCAUGGAAAGAAACAGAAGUUCAAAACCUAUUUGAAGACCGAGUCGCAAAUGAAAUCCUCUCCAUCCCUCUAAGCCCAAAUCAGCAGGAAGACAAUUUAGUAUGGAAAGGGAACAGGUCUGGAUUGUACACAGUAAAGAGCGGAUACAAUAAAGUGUGUGCGCAAACGUCAAAAACAGAACAAAGCAGAGCAUCAAGUUCAUACCAGCCCCCUCGAACACUAUGGACACAGCUAUGGAAGUUAUCUAUCCCCCCGAAGAUGCGCAUAUUUGCAUGGAGCAUAUGUCAAAAUGCAAUACCAACUAGAGAAAACCUCUACAAAAGACAGGUGUUACCUCACCCAAUCUGCUCGCUCUGCAACGCACAUCUGGAAACCACCGAGCACCUGUUCCUCCUCUGUAAGUGGACAAAGAAAAUAUGGACAGACCCAAGGAUUAAUCUCAUGUGUAAACCCACGCACAUAUCAAGGUUUGAUAAAUGGUUGAAGGAAAGCUUCGAAGGCAACUAUCACUCACCCGAAAAGGAAUUAGUGACGAUGGUUCUCUGGUUCAUAUGGAAAGCCCGCAAUAGCACCAUCUUCAGAGCAAAACCGCCAGAUCCGAACACAAUCGUUGAUCUCGCACAAGCAAACCUCCAAAAUUUCAGAAGAUGGCACAACACAAACGAAGCUAAGAAACCCAUAGACUUGCACUUACCGAGAAGAUGGAGACCGCCGGACAGAGGAACACUGAAACUCAACGUCGAUGGCUCGUGGGUGCCAGGAGAACCGGUCGGAUCUGUCGCCGGAAUACUGAGGAAUCACGCCGGACAGGUGGUGGACGGCUUCGUGAGCGAAACUCGAGCCUCUUCAUCCGUGCAGAUCGAAACCCUAGCGAUCUUGAAGGGGCUGGAGUUCCUGCAACUGAAAAAGCAGUCGCACGUGGAAGAAGCCGGAUCUGAACUAGUUGAAGCAGAGAAAGUGCAAUGUGAGUCUGACUGUUUGACUGCAGUGCAAAGCCUAAUGGGCUGGGCCGAACACCCCUGGAAUGUGCAGACCAUCCUUGACCAAUGCAACAAGAUCCUGGCCCAAUCAAGUGCGACGCAGGUGGUGUACUGCCCACGUGAAGCCAAUUCCGGUGCCGACUGGUUAGCGAAGGCUAACAGAACAAAAUCACUCCCUCAAAACUGGAUGUCUAAUCCUCCUCCAGCUCUUUCGGAAAUCUUAUGUUCGGAAUCUUACUUGUCGACUUCUUGUAUUUCUCGUUGUUAUGAAUGAAAGUAUCUACAUUUUCUGACCAAAAAAAAAAAAAAAAAAACCCCUCCGUGGCGGGCCUCAAAUCUUUUCACAAUCUUUGAUGGAAUGGAUCAAGUCAAACUAAGCCUGGAUCGAUGUUAGCCCUCAGCUAAAUCCUAACGAGUACUUGAGACACUCGAAAAGGCAAUAGAAGUGAUAUCUCUUCUAAUUGAUCUAUACGCGUUAGGUUAUGGACAUCUCAAUUAUUAUAAUCUUGUCUGUGAAUUUCCUUGUUCUGAUUUGUCUGAAUUCGACGCCUUCUAGAGUUUGUUAGGAACAUAAGGCAUGUCCUUGUCAUGACACAGCUGGGACAUUCUUAGUAGAAUGAGGGAUUCUUCAGAAUUAUGCAGUUGCCUUCGUUUAAUAUGCAUUAUCCGUGUUGACUUUGUACUGUAAUCGCUCAAUUAGUUGGUAGGCAGCAGGUCCAGCUGCGAGCUUCUUGCCUGUCCAAAAGGUGAUAAUCAAUUCUUGAUUCUUUAUUUGUUAGUUCCUAACUUCUAUUCUCUAUAACUGAGUUGACCAUUGGUGGAGAAAUCACUCCCCCACUACUAAUUUACAAGUGCACGUCUGGUCCAUGAACGCGCCCUCAUUAAAGUACUAACAUAUUCUUAUGAAUCUUGAAGACGUUGAUUUUCUUCUUCUUCGCCUUGAGAUGGUAAGAGCCCUCCUUUCCUCACUAGAGUGGAGAAACCGAUGUGAAGAGAGGUUUGAUAUUCCAUAAAGAUCAUGAAGAUGCUGCAUGUCUUGAUUGGUUGUCUAGCUCUAGCAGUCAUUGCUCGCGGGCAACAAAAUCCAGGUUCCCUCCCUCUCUCUCUCCCUCUCACGCUCGCACGCAUAGUGAUGAUUGAAUCGUGAAGAGUCGAUGCAUCAGAAAAUGGGAUUCUAGAAAUAGGCACAGUGAUGAUUUAAUAGCUAUUUUUCUUCUCGUUAGUGAUCAACCUUUCAAGCGUAAGUCGAAAAAACAGCGACACUAAAAUUUGAUAUAAAAAUCGAGCACUGGGUAAUUAGGUAGUAUCUUGUACUCCAACUUAGGAAUUUAGCAAAGUUAAGCCUGUUCAAGAGUCUCCAGGAAACAUUUCCAGAUUCUCCUAAUUAUUGGAGAGUUAGCAUGCAUCAUCCUCUAGCUUACGUUAUAUUUGCAGAUGACGUCUCUGUUUUCAAGCUUUUCAUGGACGCCUUAAUCAUCGUAAUAACCAUCAAAACUUCUUAAGUAACAAUUAUCAAGCCAAAUCUUGCACAUGUAAUUUUCAUUGCUGAAAUUUGUAUCUAGUUGAUACUGUUCUAAAGAAGUCAAAUAAAAAAAGUUUAAGGGACAUCGCAAAGCAUCAAGAAAUUUAUAAUAUUGUUUAAAUUUCGAAUUCGUGAUGUGUGGUAAAAAGCAAGUGACAAUCUCUGGUUUCCCCUUGAUUUAGGUUUCAUAAGCAUAGAUUGCGGAGCACCUAAUGAUUACCAUGAUGACCAGCUCAACAUAUACUACAAGGCUGAUGCAGGAUACGUAGAUUCCGGAACAAACGUGCAGGUGUCUACCCAGGUCAUCUGCCAAAACAACCAACAACAAUCAAAGAAUCUCCGGAUCUUCCCUAGUGGAGAAAGGAAUUGUUAUACAUUAAUGCCAGAUGAAGGAAAGGGCAGCACAUAUUUGGUCAGGGCUUCAUUUUGGUAUGGUAAUUAUGAUGGCAAAGAUCAAACCCCAGCAUUUGACCUCCAUAUUGAUGUUAACUAUUGGAUCACGGUGAACUCUUCGUCUUGGAUAUACAAAGAGAUUAUUUACACUCCUCCGAGAGAUUACAUACAAAUUUGUUUGGUGAAUAUCGGCUUGGGAGUUCCAUUUAUAUCAGCUCUGGAGUUGCGGCUGCUGGAUAACUCAACUUACCAGAUCAAUUCCAGUGCACUUGUAACCAACUGGAAAUAUAAUUUGGGGAGCCUAAGCACAUACAUGUGAUUUUCUUUGUCAUUGCCCUUCAAUUUUGGUCAUUGACCACAUUCGUCGGUCAGUAAAUGACAAGUUCAUGUAUUUACAUGUUACGAAUCAUGCAUUUUUACAUUGUGCAACUGCAUGGACUAUAGAAAACAUGCUGUCAAUUACAAAUUGAUUUUUGUCGACUUGUUCAUCAUCUUGCACUUACGGCUAUGAUUAUUUGACUGGCUUCGGCAUUAAUAGGCAUCCGCAAGAUGUAUAUGAUCGCAUCUGGAACAAUAAGACUUAUAGUGGAGGUUGGUCGUCCGUUAGCAACGCGACGGCCAUCGAGACAAGUACAAGCAAUGAUGCCUAUAAAGUUCCGCCUGAAGUUUGAUGACCGCCACACAAGUACAAAAUGUCACUGAUCCUCUAAGUCUGUUUUGGACCUCGGAGAACUCCACCACUGUCUGGUAUAUAUACUUCCACUUUGUGGAAUUGCAAUUGGAAAAGGGUCAAUUCAGAGAAUUCGCCAUAUAUGUACAAGACAAAUUCGUGGAAACGGUCAUGCUCGAGAACCUAAAGCCAGUGACCGUAGCCUCAUUGCCCAUAAGUGGACAUAAUUUGAACUUGACUAUUAGUGCGACGGCCCGCUCUAGUCUGCCACCGCUCCUCAAUGCCGUCGAGUUUUUCACUGUGGCACAGCUCCCAAAUUCACCGACUUUUCUUGACGACUGUAUAUUUAUAUC
rnacentral:lncRNA from 1 species